rnacentral:lncRNA from 1 species
UUUUUUUUUUGGUUCUUCACCACUAAUACAUAGUUCCACUAGAAUUGGCUGAUUGAACGCAACGCUAGAUAAGAAAAGACGAGAGGCAAUUAUAGAUAUAGUAGUCUGUACUUUUGGAUGAAUGUAUCUUAUAUCUUAAUUGUAACUUUUCACAGGUAAUGAGAUACAUCGUACAACUGGAGAGUUUACCUCAAUUAUAUGUUAUUAUGCUCUUCAACUUUAUUAGUAUUAUUUCUUUUCUUAAUUGAAAUAUCGACAAAAUGCUUCAUUAUCUACCACAUAUAGAAAAUGAUAAAAAAAAUAAUUUUUGAUUGGAAAAAUACAGCCAAUGAGGGCUAUGGGCAUAUUAGCCAAGUAAAAUUCCACUGGGCAUAUUGAACUUGUAACUUCACACCGCACAUAGUGCGGUGAUCCUCUCCUAGUUUGGAUAAAAAUAUCAAAGGACCGGACAAAAUGUAGAUCCAAACGGGGCUAUAAGAGAAAUCGGGUCAAAUUAAAUCUUCUCCGACAUGGCUUCCGGCAGUCGUCGUUGCCAAUUUUAGAGCAAGGGUGAUGAAAGGCUCUGGGGAAGUGCAAAAUCACCUCGAAUUUCUCUAUUUUGGCAUAGGUUUGCCCCUUGGAGACUUUGAGCCCUUUUUUCUUUUAAUUCUGUUGCUUUUCUUCUGUUUCGAUUCACAUAGAAACUGGUUUUUCUGUUCAUUCAGGAGAUUUUGUACCUAUUAUAUAUUUGUAUUAAGGUUAACUGAUUUUUAUUUUUUCGCAUUGGUGUUGCGAGUAGACUAUGUUAGUACCAUUCCAAACUAUUCAAUCCCUCAAACCGUUUGACGAUGAUGAUUUUCGUGGGAAUACCCGUAAUGCAGGUUGGUAUGUAUAGUAUUCCUGAUUCAUGGCAUUAGGAAUUUGUAUAUGAGUCUGCAUAAAUUUUUAUGUCUAUUAAAUGAUACAUGCAUUGGUUGUAUCAAGAGAUGAAUUUUAACUUGUUCUGUAUCUGUUCAAACUAACUUAAGUUACCUACAAAUAAGCACUAAAGUCACAGCUAAUCUUGAUCUUACCAACAUUUAAUUGAUAUAUUCUUUGAAUUUUCUGAAUCACAACCUUGCAGGCAAGUUAGAGAUUCUUAACAAUACAUGGCCAUCAGGAGUAAAACGGGGAUGAUCAGAAUCCUUUUAGAAUAUUAUUAAAUUAGCAGUUUAACCUUAGGAAAAUAUUUGUCAUUAUCACUAAGAUACAGAAAAGAACUGAACUUCAUCAGUUUAGCCCAGAAAUAGGAACCAACCAUAUGUGACAUGUCAUCAUAUUGUGUAAUCUACAAGGAAUGGUAUGUGAAAUUCUUGAAACCUCUAACUAACUCAUGACAUCGAUAAAGUUAAGAUAUUUGUGAUGUUAAAUAACCAAACUGACAAUUAUUUAUUGUUUAUAAGGGUAUUGCAGGUUGGAUUUCUAUAAGCUAUUCAUGGUUGAAUUCUGUCCAGUGGACUCCUGAAUUUGCCUCGACUCAAUCUCAUUUUAUGUAAUUUCGACCAUGGCUAGCGUAAGAUAUUUGAGUUUCAACAAAAAUUCAGCAAUGUUACUGCAAAAUGAGAUUUCUUUGUUAAAAUGUGGUUGUUCAUGCUAUUGUUGAUCAGAUGCCAAUGAUGAGUUUCUAGAGCAUGUGCAAAAAAUUGAAAGUGAAUGCAAUGUUCCAAGAAGAUAGGUAUGUGACAGAAUCAUAAUGGAAGACAUGGUUCUUUUCCCUUAGUAGAAUCUUCUGUCCUAAGAUAAUCGAAUGUGCUAAGAAGAUAUACUAGUCGCAAAUAGAGGCUCUGAAGUGUACUCCCAUGCCAUAAUGACAAAAUGUAUCUGUUUAAAUGUUGGAGGCAUAAUUGAGCAGCCAAUGUAUUAAUAAAAUGUCUUUUGUGGCCUUGCUGCUUCAGACUAGGAUAUGGUUAUAGAUCUGCAAUAGCAAAUGACUCAGUAAUAAAAAGCAUUACUAUUAUGCAUAGAAAAGUUGUACCCUUUAUCUUUUUUCAACCUUUUAACUUUGAAAUAGUUCAUAUAAACUGCCUUCUAUGCAGUAGUUGCAACUACAAAGUUUACUUUUCAUUCUUUUGUUUCUCCAAAAAGCAAAUAGACCAUUAUUCGGUUGAUAUUUUACCAUAAAUAUAUGAGGUAGUGGAUUUUGAUGUAAUUUUAGAUUAUUAGGCCUUUUUUUGGGAAUAAAGAGAGCUAUUUUUUUAGGUGAAUUUUACAAUUUUUUUAUUUUUUUUGAAUUCUUUGCAUUAAAAUAUUGGUUGUUUUUCAGUUUUAUGAAUCCAUUACUCGUUUCAAUUUUAUGGAGUUUUGGGGAUUCAAGCUUGCUUUUGAACUUAGUUUUGUAACAAUACAAUUCUCUUACUAGCUUAGUCACAAUAGAAUUGUUUAUAGAAUCAAAUGAAUUCUCAAUGUUGUCCACCAUUUAGAACUUAACCAUGGUUGUCCACUUUAAUUAAAGUAAAUUAAAGUACGAUACAAUUGUUAGGCAAGUUUAAGAGUGAGAAUCAUCGUUCAUCCAAGUGCAGGUUCAACAAAAUUGAUUAUGAUUGAUUUAAGAUGAAUUUUCUUUUCUUUUCAUGUUUUCCAAUCCCAUUUCUUUCACAAAAUCCAUGAUUCAAAGAAAAGAAUUUCUGUGGAAUUUUUUUCCAUUUCCCUACUACUUUAUUUUGUUUCCAAACAAGAGAAAGGAUUAGGUUUUCACAAGGAAUUUACCUUCCAUUUGCUCGCUUUACUUUCCUUACUGGUUUCCUAGAACCAAAUAGAGCAUUAGUGAUUGUACUUGCGGGGAUGAAACCCAUCAUUGAAUUUGUAACCAUCAGAUUUUUGCAGAAAACCCAUCAUUGAAAUUUUAGCUGGCAGGAUUUGAUUUGAUGAGCAGUUCUUUCACUUUUCCUUUCCUACUGUUUGUUGAGAAAUUCUUAGCAUCUUUUCUUUUUUUCAUUUUGUCCAGUAUAUCUGUAAAAAUAGAGGUUCACAUAUGACCAAACAAAAGAGGAGAAACAUAGAUACAGAGCUUCUUACCGAAGGAGAAAAGCUUUAAGAAAGGAAUUUCCCUGGAGGUUAGUUUUUCUUAGCCUCAGGUGUAUAAUGUUUUCUCUACUUUUUAUGAUAAACUAUUGGUGAUGUUUCUUAGUAUUAAGUGCAACUUUCAAUGUGUGGUCUCCAGUGUUCUAAGGCAUCCAGAUGUCAAUAUGGCCAUUUUUUUUAGUUAUUAUUUUGUUUUCUGCCAACUAAGUGAUUUUGGGUUGGGUUUAAACAUGGUAUGUAUGUGAACUUGCUUGCUAUUGUAUUUAUUAAUUAUCGUGAACGUGAUUUGGUGAUGAAGAUGAGAGUUUAAACAUUUCUUAGUGAAUUUUUCCCCUUAACGAAUAAUUUUAAGGUAAGAGAUCCAGGGAGGAAACAUAUAGAUUCCUCCCACCCUGUUGUCGACAUGAUAUAAUGUAGAUUUCGUCAGGAAUAUUGCUUGGCUUGCCUUUUAGCAAAAACAAUAGGAAAAAGAACUUUGGGUUUUGUCUUUCUCUUCUCUGCUCAGUAUUAGUGCUGUGACUUUUAUAUUUUGCAUGACUUCUCUUUCAGUUACUCUGGUGUUUUGAGUAUGGGUUAGUAUUAGACAGCAUUUGGGCGAAGAUAAAAAGAAAAAAAUGAGUCUAAUGCUAAAACUAAUAGCUAUGAUCAAUUAUUUCAUGAGGUUAUGGUGCUGGCUAACUAAUAGCUUAUUCUUUUGUCUCUCGCAAAAGUAGUGUUGUUGCAAUUUCUUUCUUAUGUGCCGUCUGAAUGUGUUGAAAAUCGGGAAAGAAAGAAAGUUUAUUCGUAUAUGUAGUGCAUCGGAGUAACAAAAAAUACGUCUUCACCUCAUGAGAAUUAUUGUCCAAUAUAAUGGUUCCACUACUAAUGAGCAAUUCCUUAGAGAAUUUUGAUUUAAGAUAUCAAAUUGGAGGCAACUGCUUUGUUGCUAUUUAGCGGGAAAACAAAAAUUUUUGCUAUCUUAUGCAAACUGUGGGAAUACUUGCAUCUACUAUAUUGCCUCUGCAUAAUUGCUACCUGCAGUAUGACCUCCAUUCAUGAUCUAAUAUGCUUAGCUCGCUUAUAGUACAAAACUGGAAAAGACCACCUUCUUACAACUGAUGUAUUAUGGUGACAUCUGACUCUGGUCUUCAAAACUAGAGUGUCAAUCACAAUCCAAUUCUGUUAAUUCGCCGAAAUCCAACCACCAAUAACCAGCCCAAACCUGCCCAUUAAUUUUGAGUGAGUCUAAAUGCGUACCUAAUUAAACUCAUUUUUGGUUCGCAUGUUGGAAUCGGAUAAUUUUCAAGCUUAUUGUAUUCUCGAAUCAAUUAUUGACUCCAAUCGAGUAUUCACCAUUUUCACUUAACAGCUUCCAAAAUUAAAUUUUGAAACAAGUCACUUUAAAAUAUAACUAGCUAUAAUUCCAUAUAAUUAGGUCUAAAAAGGUUAGAAAUAAUAUUCAAGCAAUUGCCCAAAUAAAUAAUUAAAUGAGCUGAAUUAGGAGUUAAAAUAGAUGAAUUUGUGAGUCUUCACAUGAGUCUUGUAUUACUUCUCAAAUCUCUAAUAAAUUUGUAUCAGCGUGUCUUUUGAAAAAUUAUCGACGCGCAAGCGUAUACACUUACUUAAAACUCAUUCACUUUAUUCAUCAAUUAACUCUUAAUCUUACUAUUGAUCAUUCUUAAUUCCCCAAGAUAAAUGCACUCUCGAAUAGAAUAUCACUUGAAACACAUUACUCAUUAUUCCUCACUUAAAUGAACCUCCGAAAAUUAAAUUGCUAAUGGGACGUUUUAAAAACAUAAGGAAGACAUUGUUCCAUAUGAAUGGACUUAGAAUGGUUGAAAUAAAUUAUUUGGAGAAAUAGGUGAAUAAAUAUUUAAAUAAACCAAUAAUACUCGAUAAAAAUAAGAAAUUUUUUUUUCGGUUCUCACAUAAUAUAUGAUAUCCAAGGAUGCCCAGCCAUUAGAAUUGUUGAUAAUCAUAAUAAUCAUCUGAUUACAAUAAAUAGUUCAAUAAUUAAUGAUCAUUAUGAAUGACUAAACUACAUCUUAAUUUUUUUUGCUUAAAAGGAUCUACUUAAAUUAAGUUCUUUUCUGAAUAAUAAUAUAGAGGUUCUUCCUUACACAGAUUCAAUUAUUGGCAAUCUGGGAAUUUUUCUGUUUCACCAAAACAGUAGAAGCGGCAAGAUACAUUUGUCGGUGGUGUAGUGUCAGACUAUCAUUUAAUCAUUUACUCCUAAUUAUAGAAUAUUGUUGGUCCCACAUUAAAGACGUGAUUUAUAAACAACGCCUUCAUAUACACCCUUACGGCAGUUCGUUGAGUUCGGUUGUGAACUCCUGGCCAAGCGAGGCAAUCUCGAACGUCAGCAAGGACGGUUUCUCGGGCCGGGUUCGCCCUCUUGCCUCCUGUAUUCUUGCCCGAAUGUGGGCUUUAUGACUCGGGAAGUAAUUGAUAAUCAUGUAUCAAAUUUUGUUCAAAAAAUUUCAAGGCAUUUUAUCCUCUUUCCUCUACGCGGACAUGCAUAAUCUUGCGUUUCCACGGCAAAUAAUAAUAAUAUAAUUUGGUAAUCAUAACUGCCAAAUUCAAAGAAAGCUUGCUUUUGUAUGUUUAUUUUCAAUAAUGUUUUGCAAAUCUAUGUAAAAAUUAUUGUGUUGUAAAAUAGGAAUAUUCGUGUGUUCAUUUUAGACUUCUACUUUUUUGUAAUUUAAGAAGUAUACUAAUUUUAGGUAAAAUUUUGAUGUACUAUUAGUGUAUACACAAGCAAGUAUAAAAUAUAUAUAUCACAUAAUGUAAAUUCAAAUUUGAAAUUCACUAUUUGCAUAGAUGAUAUACUUUUAUGCCUAUAUGUAUAUAUAAACACACACACACACACACACACACACAUAUAUAUAUAUAUAUGUAUGUAUGUAUAUUAUAUAUUGUAAGUGAGAGGAUCGGAACUCAUAACCUCAUAUUUACAACUCUUCCCAUUUACCAUCCAAUCUAACUCUUCUAUAUAUAUAUAUAUAUAUAUAUAUAUAUCGAUCCUCCAUACAUACGUUCUUUAGUACUUGUGAUUAUUAAUUAUCUCAUUUUAGAUUGAUGAAUUUAUCAAUGACAUUUUUGUUUAAAAAACGUAAUGACAUCAAAUAGGCACAAUGAUCUACACGACAGAAUUGUAUGUAAUAGGCAAUGAUUUUGGAAAUUCAUUUCCAUUACAAGAGACAUAUUGGGGAUUAUAGUUUGUAAUGUGUCAACUAGUCAUAAGCACUUGUCAUCCCCUGUGGGAAGAGAAACAUGUAGUUCACCUAUUCACAAGUGCAAAGAAUAUUUCCUUUAGCAAUUUGAUUCUAACGUAAUUUUUGUAGAACAUGCAAACUCAACAGACAUGGUGUAGGUGUGAACACAUCUGAUUUUGAAAAAAAAAUAUUGCAAUAUGGAACCCAAUUUUGAAUUGGGUCAAUCACAAUCCCAUCUAGCACAUAGUAUCUUGGGAUACAUUUGGAACACUUUAAGAUUUCUAACAAUUUCACUUAGUGCUCCUGAAUUUUGAAAAAUAUCACUUUCCUCCCAUAUUUUUUUUAUUUUUGAUAACACUAUCAACCCAUUUCAAAAUAAAUUAUUAAAAAAGGGAUUAUUAUCAUUUUACCCCUAACCUUUAUAGCUAUUAUCACUAUACCCUAUAAUAUUAUCUUUUAAUCAGUUUACCCCAAGACUAACAGUCAAAGCAAACAGCGUUACAUAAUUUAGAUGAAAUGACAUAUGUAGCCCAAAAUAAUAGUUGAUGACAAAAAUGCCCAUUUUGUUCCAAAAUUGCAAUGGGCAGGAAAAAAUGCACGUUAUGUAGGAAAAUUAAAAAAAGGAAAAAAAGGGAAAAAGAAAGAGUUAUUGCUUAGGAGGGAACUUAGGAGGGUUCCCUCAUUGAAGUGAAAUUCUUAUUUCAUUCUCUUUUAACGAAGAAAAGAAAUUUUUACCAGUGUUUAAACCCCUAAAUUUCUUUAACCUUACAUCUCUGCUCUUUGACGAUCAAAGGAUCAAGUGAUCAACAAAUCCAAAGAAAGAUCGAAAGACUUUGUAGCAGGAGUUGAGAAUUGUUGGUGUGAAAGAAAAAUAAAACAAGGUACAUCUCAAAAUACCAAAAUGUAAUGUAAUAUUCUUCUGCAUGUUGAUCCUUUCAAUAUGCUAAAAUGAUUUAGCUGUUCCAAGGUAGUAAUCUUUAAAUCAAUCACGUUAGUGGAUUUGAAAUUCAAGGGAAAUACAGACUUACAACUUAUUGGUUACAAUAACUAAUAUUAUAUUAGUCCUAGCCAACCUACCAAUUGCUCUAUAGAAAAAUAUUCCUAGCCAAGUAUAUGGAUUUUUAUGAAUUAGUAGAUUGUGAAUCAAUGACUCGAGGCUUUUCUAUUCUUGUACUUUUAUGCGUAUUUCAGUUGGAUGUAUCAUAUAUAUUAUGGUUGACUUUUCAGAGCCACAAGUAUGCACACUUUCAGAUUCACUAUGAUGGCCAUUUUGUCCAUGCUCCUAUGUUUGAGUACGUGGGGGGAAAAGUAGCACACUUUCUUGACAUUGAUCCUGAUCUCAUGUCAUAUUUUGAAAUUCUUAGCUACUUGAGAAAAAUUAACGUGGAUGAAAACUUUCCGAAGUACUAUAAGAUUUCUGGAUUUGACUUGUUACAUGGGCUUAGACUACUUAACAGUGACAGUAAUGUCUUAGAAAUGCUUGAAUUCAACAGGAACCACAAUAUGGUUGAGAUAUAUGUUGGUUUUGGUGUCGAUAAUGAUGCUUUUGUUGAGGAACCUAUGCUUAAUAAUUUGGUUGACAACAGUGCUCAUCUGGAGCACCUUGAAGUUGGAAAUGCUGCCAAUGAUGAGGGAAAUGGUGCUGGAGUUCAAAAUCAUGAGAGUUUAGAAAAUGAAAAUGAGGACUGUGAUUCUUCUGACGAAGCGUAUCAUGCUGAAGAAGGAGGAUCAAGUGAUGAUUCUAAUUUUGAAUUUUUUCUUGAUGAUUGAAUGAUGGGUGUGAUCCAUGGGAAGGGGAAGAAAAUUUAGAGGAAACAAAUGAACAGCAAAACUUCUCAGAUUAUAGUGAAUAUGCUCAGUUGAUUGCAAAGGAGUACCAGGCUUAUGUUGCCUCUAGGGAGAAGGGAAAAAUGUUAGAGACAGAGUUUGUCAGUGAUGAUGAAGUAUUGACUGUUGCUUUAAACUCAUCUGAUGAAGAACAACAUGAAGAUUUUCCUGAAUUUAAUAUUGAAAAGGACAUGGAGAAGCCUAACUUAGAAGUUAGACAUCUAUUUACUAAUGUGCAAGAUUUUAGGCUUGCUAUAAGACAUCAUUCUAUAGUAAAUGGGUUUGAGAUAAAUUGGAAAAGAAAUGACAAUGAUAGGAUUGUGAUCACUUGCAAAAGAAAUUGUGGCUGGAGAGUGUAUGCCAGUGAGUAUAGGGAUACCAAACAAUUCCAAAUAAAAACACUAGAUAGAACUCCUCAUCAAUGUCUACAUUCCUACAAGAACAAGAGUGCUAAUGCAAAAUGGAUAGCCCAAAGGUUUAUUAGAGACAUUGCGGAUAAUCCAUCUCUAAAAAUUGAUGUACUUAAGAAGGUAGUGAAAAGAAAAUAUAAUGUGAAUGUGUCUGACCAACAACUUUACAGGGCUAAGAGUAAGGCAGCUAAGAUGAUCCAGGGUGAUCAUAAGAUGCAGUAUUGGAGAAUUAGGGACUAUUGUGCUACAAUAAUUUGUAAGAAUCCAGGUUUUGUUGCUAUUGUAGUAAUUGAGAGAUUGCCUAUGUGCCCUAAUCCGAUCUUCAAGAGAAUGUUUGUGAUGUUUUCUACUCAAAAAGAAGGCUGUAUUGUUGCAUGUAGACCUGUGAUAGGACUAGAUGCUUGUCAUAUAAAAUCUACAAUGGGGGGACAGUUGAUGGCUGCUGUUGGUAGAGAUGCUAACAAUCAGAUGUAUCCACUCGCUAUGGCACUAGUAGAGUCUGAAUGCAAAGAUAGCUGGGACUGGUUCUUGACUACUAACUGAUCAUAUUGGAUUACCAAGUGAAUUAGGUUGGGUUUUCAUCUCUGAUAGACAAAAGGUUAGUCAACUAUUAUUUUGGUUUAGUUGACAAAUUUUUUUCCCAUUUAUUUUACACAUGAUGCUAAUUACGUAUUUUGUUUACAUGGAUUGAUUGAGAUAAUGGAGAACAGAUUUCCUAGAGUUGAGCAUAGAUAUUGUGUCAGGCAUAUGUACGCCAAUUUUAAACUACGAUUCAAAGAUAAACAAUUGAGGAAUAUCAUGUGAGCGGCUGCUAGAGCCUAUGUACCAAACAGAUUUGAGGCUAAUAUGAGAGAAUUACAAGCAAUAUCACCUGAAGCUCAUGCAUGGUUAAGAGUUGUUCCAACAAACUUAUGGGCAAGACACAUUUUUUCUAGUAGAACUAAGUAUGACCUUCUAACCAACAACAUAUGCAAGAGCUUCAAUCAAUAUGUUAAGAAGGCAAGGCAAGAACCUAUUUUGAUCAUGUUUGAGAAUAUUAGAAGACAAAUCAUGUGUAGAUCUCAUGAGAAAAGACAAUGGAUUAAAAGAGUUCAGUCCAAAAUCUGCCCAAGAAUAGUUGAGAAAAUAGAUAACCACAAGACUCAGGUGCCACUUUUUGAAAGUAGGGAAUCAGAAAGUGGGAUAUGGGAAAUUGCUGAACCUACUAAGAGUUAUAUAGUUUCCAUUAAUGAAGGUAGCUGCACAUGUAAAGAGUGGGAAAUGACAGGCAUCCCAUGUGUUCAUGCUUGUGUGGCAAUUGUGAAUAGGGAUGGUGAGCCAGCUAACUUUGUUCAUGAUCGGUACACAGUUGACAUGUAUAAAAGGGCCUACAUGAACCUUAUUAUACCAGUUCCAGAUGAAAACAAGUGGGUGAAAUCAAAUACAGAUCCAGUGGCACCCUCUCUUAUAAGAAAAGCACUCAGCAGGCCAACAAAGAAAAGAAGAAAGGGACCUGAUGAGAACCAGCAAUCCAACAAACUUAGCAAAAAGGCAUACCAAUUCAUUGCAGUCACUGUGGUCAUACAAAUCACAAUGUAAGGAGCUACAAAAACACUGGCUGCUUGUAUGUUAGGAAAAGAAAACAGGUAGUGACCAGCUUUAUUUGAUUCAUAAUUCAACAAGUUUCAGCUUUUUGUUAGCUUAGUUCUUUAUCUUUUUUGUUCUAGGUUGAAAAAGCUACCGGUAACAAUUCAGAAGAAACUAGCAUACAACCAAAAAAUUCCCAAGUUGCACGUACAUGCAGUGUUAGAGAUAGGGGAAUUGCUAUUGGAAGGGGGUGUGGCUUAAGUGUUAACUACAAUAGAGGUAAGAGAACUAAGAUGGGAAGGGGUCGUGGCAAAUGUGUAAGCUAUGGUCCAUUGAGUGGGAUUGACAACUGGAAUGGUAUGGGAAUGUCAACUGGAACAACUUUUAUUCACCACUCAAGAAUCGUAAAAUUGUUCACUUUUGCCUAGUUUCCUUUAUCAGUACAAUCAUCACUCAUAAAUGUAAUUCAUUGCAGAUUUCCCCACAAAUGGUGCCUACAAAGUGUGCUAGUCAGAGUGGAAGUGAAGGCAGAGUGACUACUAUUAGAGCUGGUGGAGGAAGCAAUGGUGAUAUUAUGAGUGAGAAAGCAAGUGCUGAUAUUAUGAGUGACAAAGCAAGUGGUGAUUUUAUGACCGGAGCUCCAUUUAGAACUUCAAGCAGUAAAAACUACAACGCUGGAAAUCAGGUUAGAAUAUUGAAGCCUUGUGCAAUUUAAUAAACUCCAGUGAUGUAGUGUUGGUUGUACGGUUAUGCUUUUUCAUAUUUUCACAUCUUCUUUUAGGUUCACAAGGUGCAAACUAGAUAUGGAGUCCAUUUGCUAUCCAGCAAAGGAUCGUCAAGUGCUGCUUCAAAGUCCAGCAUACCAGUUGGCAAAAAAUGAUAUUUCUAAUGGUCAACAAUUUGAAGAUAAUGUUUUGUUCUUUUCUUUUUGGAUGAAUUGAUGAUAUUUUGUUAUUAAUUUUGAUGGAUUCCCACUAAUGACAGAUAGUGAAUGAUUUUUUUUUUGUCCCAACCAGACAAUGAUUAUGCUUUAUAUAUAUGUAACAGCGAGCUAAACUUGAUAUUGAGAAUACAUUCAAGGUCAAUAGAAUUUUUUUUUAUUUGGUGGUAGCAUCUAACAACAGUCGUUAAUCUUCUUCAUUGUCACUUGGUAUAUGAAAUUUCAAUUUUUUUGAAAGUUUGCAAAAAGGAUCUAUCAGUCUGAAAAAAGCAAAAAAUAGUUUCUAGUAUAAGAAGUUCCAGAUGAUUUUUUUACACUUACGAAAAAAUAUAAAUAUGUCCAGAAAAAUUUUAUAUUAUAACCUUGUAGGUAGAGUAGACAAGAAAUUAAGAGAAUAAAAUAAGAAAUAAAAAAAUAAAAAUUAAGGGAUUUGUGAACGAUUUAAGAAAAAAGAGAAUAAAAAAAGGUUGGAUAUCAUUUUAAGAGAAAAGGAAUUUAAAAAAAAAUCAAGACAAUUGCAAAUACUAUGAGCAAAAAAAAAAGAAGAAACAAGUUCUUCAAGGCUUAAGGGUAUUUUCGUCUUAAAAAUUAGUAACAACGAGUUGGCUAACGGAAAUGGGUAAACUGACUAAAGAAUAAUAUUAUGGGGUAAAGUGAUAGUAGCUAUAAAGGUUAGGGGAUAAAAUGAUAAUAACCCUUAAAAAAAAAACUCAUUUUUGGAUAAAGAAGAUGAUUUCAUUCCAAACGUGCCCUUAUUCAUCCUAGUUUUUUUUUUGAAAAAAUUUAAAAGUAUAUUAAGAAAAGGUUGAAAUUAAUAGACAUAUUGUUUGAAUGUGCAAUUUUAGUGGGAUACAAUAUAACAGUAAGUGUUUUAAGGUAUAAAUAAUUUAUUUUUAAGAGUAUAUUUGAGGUGCUUUCAAACCAAAAAAAUAUUAUUAAUUGCAAAGUGUUUACCAUCAAUUUGAUGAGUUUUUUAAAUUAUUAGAAUUUCUGAAAAAUAGAAUAAAUUUAUAUUAUAUUUAAAAACUCAUUUUAUAUGUUUUCGAAGACUAAAAGGAGUUAUUAUUUUAUUGAAAAAUGUUUGUGAAUUUCUAAAUUUAAUAUAUAUUGUUUCAACUAAUGAUAUGAAAACUAUUAAAAUAUUUUUCAAUCUUGUUAACAUCCUAUAAUUCUUGGCUACAAAAUUAUAACGGCAAAGUUUUAAAAGUUUAAGAUAUUAACUAAUUUAUUAUGAAAACAAAAAAGACGUACAAGAAAAGGGCAACAUUGGAAUGAACACGAAUUCUCUAUUCAAACAUAAGUUUUUUAAUAAUAUAUUAUAAAAUGAGUUUACACUGCUAUAGAAAAAAGUUGAAAAUAAAGGAGGCAAAUAAUAUCUUUUAAAAUUCAAGAGGUUAAGUGAAUUGUCACGGAACUCAAGGAAAGCCGGUGAAAUUAUCCCAAAUAUCUUUAUCCCAAGUGUCCUUAUCCACGUUAAAAGAUUGUGGGGAUAAUUACUCUGAGUUUAAAGUUUUAAACCGCACUUUCAAUUAUCAAUUGACUAGAUCGUAUUGAUUUAUGAGCUCCACUUUAGAUUAUAUUUUGCACUAAAAUUUCGAUUACCUCUGAAUGUUAUUCUAAUUUUGUUAUAUGAUUUCCAGUAAUUUCGAUUGUUGAAAAAAAUGUCUUUAUCCACAAUAACCCUUCGCACAAUUUCUUCCUAGAAAGGACGGAAGAGAAAUCAAGUAGCCCUAGUUGAUGCAUAUCAGUACUGAACUACUGAUGAGUAGUGACUCACAACAGGAUAAGCACUAAGGAUAUGAGAUGAGAGAUCUCGUGGACCAAUCAAUUUGCGGAUUUUGAUAAUCUGUGGACCAUGUAAUAUGCUUGUGGUGUAUAUUUUUUUGAAGGUAAACUACUUUUUUUUGUCUUAGUAAUAUUAUUUUAUGUAUCCAUGGACCAUGUGUUAUUAAUUUAUUACACUGGAUAGUAGAUACCGAAUAGUCAAAUACCACCUGUCAUUUUGCUGAAGCUGAUGGCUUCUUUUUUUUUUUUCAAUUAUGCCCUUUUCGCAUAAAAUUGCCCUUUUCAACUUUCUUGGGUUUUCUCUAAAUUGACUGAGAAGCAUAUGGUGGGGUCCAGAGCAUUAAUAGUUGAGUUGAACAGUUGAAGUCAAAUCCGUGAUAAUUUGUGGUUCACGUUUCUCUGAUUUUCUUUACGUCAUUCAUGACGUAAACAUUUUUGUAUUUAUAGGUUAGAACAGCCAUUGGAUGACAGCCACUGUGGGUUUCACACCCAUAGACACCUAUCAAAACAGUUUCAUUAAUUUAACAAAUUUAGUUUCUUAAUUAUACUUAAUUAUUCAAAGACCCAAAAUAUUUUUUAAAAUUGAUUUUUCUUUGGUUUUCUUAUUUUGCAUUAAGAGAUAAUUUUAGUAACCUCCUCUCAUAUUUAUAUUAAUAUCAUUUGAUAUCCCUAAAAUUUAAGAAAGUUCACCUACCUCCCUUAUUUUUAACAUUUUUUUAACUUUAUCAAUCCAUUUCAAAAGAUUUGAUUUAAAAACUUAGGCCCUGUUUGGAUUGCCAUUUUCUGUCAGAAAAUUGCGUCGUUUUCCGUGAUCACAUUUCCCUAUUACCUUUUUCCCUCACAUACAUCAAAUCGCUACAGUAAUUUUUCCAUGAAAAAUGACGAAAAAUGCAAUCCAAACGGGACCUUAGUUUGAGAGAGAUAAAACAUUUCUUUUCAAAAACUACCCGUUUCUUGUGCACAAUUACUUUUCAUAAUAAAUCAAAUUAAAUCCUUAAGAAUUACAAUAUAUUAAUGAAAUUGAAAGACCUUUUUGUAACUUUCUAUGUUAUCGGUCCGGACAAGAAAUGCAAAAGAAAAAUUGUUAUUAUUAGAAAAAAAUAACAUUUUGCAUCUUGAAAAUACCUCAAAUGAGUUUCUAAAAAUAUUGUUAAUAAUUUAUCUUUCUCUUAUAUUCAAGCCAUCGAUUUGGACAAAAAGUUAGAAUACUAAACAAAAUUCUAUAAGUUUUAUAAAAUUCUAAAUUUAUCUAAAAAUACUUUUUAAUAAAGAAAGUUACUUUUACAUUUUUUGGAAACACCUCAAAUGAGUAAAAAAUUAUGUCUGUUUUUUAUACUCAAGUCAUCUGUCUAUACAAAAAUUUAGAAAGUUCAUUUUUUUAACAUUCAUAAAACUCCUCAAAUUAAUGAAAACACUUCAUAGUGAACGAAAAAUAUUUUAGCUUGAACGCACCCUUAAAUAGUAAUCUUUUGUGCCUUAAAAACACCUACUCGUAUAAUUUUUUCUAUUAGAAUUAAAGCAUUUCCUCUCUCCAAAUAUGAGUUUCUUAAUAAUAUUUUUGAAUUGGGCUGAUAACAUUACAAAAAGCUGAAAAUGAGAAAGGUAAGUGAAAUUUUUUCAAAAUUUAGGGGUAUCAAGUGAUGUUGCAACAGACCUUAAGGGAGGUUUCUGAAACUAUUCCUUGCAUUAAUGUAGAAAUUGUUGGUUGGCUUCGCAAAGGUAGAAAAGCUGCGACCCCUUGGCACGUCAGGUUGAUGAUAGAGCACUUUUCUUUCGUUGAUUUUGAAGUUUAAGCUGGUACAGUUUUAAUAUGUUUAUACGUCUAUGGAAUUGCAAAAAUGAUGAUAAUUUUUAAUCAAUUAAGGAAAAUUUUUUUCUCUCCAUAAAAAAAUUUAGCGUCUUAAUCGACUUUGCAGUCCAUUAGUAUACAAAAUCUUACAUGUGCCUCACUCUCUCAUAGAUUUCCGUUUGUAAACAUCCCAGAAUUCCGAUGCAUUAUGAAAUAUCAUCAAAUAGGUUGCUAGUAAAGAAGAGAGUGACUUUUCUUGGAGGAAGAAGACGGUGACUUAAAAGUCCGUUGCAUCAAUUUUUCUUUUGAGUAAUCCUCAUUAUCAUUUGUUGGCAAUCAUUUUAGUUCAAACCCCCUUAGUCAAAGUACUCAAAGGAACUACUGCCUUAAUCUGUCCAUAUGAAAAGAAAAGGGCUUCCACCGAGACUGUAAAUAACAAGAUGAUUGACAAGUUAGAUGGCAUACCUUCUGAUUAAACAAUAGUCACCAAUAGUUAAGUAUUUAAUUAAACAAUAGUCAGCUUGCCGCAGCAUAUCCAAGUCACCAAUAGCAACAUACCUUUUGAUUCUACACCAAUAAAUUAAUCCUUUCCUCGUAUUCUCCCAAAGAUUAAGGAAAAAAAAGUAAGAUUAUAGAAACAAAGAAAGUUCAGUCAUGCCCCUAGCUUGAGUAAAUCGAGGGAAAGAAAAACAAUAUAUAUAAGAGGGAAGUCAGACAAGUCGUUUAUUGAAAAUUUUUUAACAAUAUUUUUAUAAUCUAACCUAUCUUAUUUAUUUUAUAUGAGAGUGAAGUCUAAAAAAAUUAUAUAAAAAAUUAAUAAAUAUACAAAGAUGACUAGACAAAAGAAUGUUUUAACAUCUCCUUUUAUUUUUCAUUUGUUUUUCUCGGCAAAUGAAAUUGAAUUCUCGACUUACAGAGAGUUACCGUCUAGAGAGAAAUUUGGAAUAUGCUUGGAUUAUAAUUUUUUAAAAAAAAUUAUUAUAUUUUUAUAAACAUAUUUUUUUAAUCACUUUUUUACUUCACAAAUAUCAAAAUACUACAAUAAUUUUUCUACAAAAAAUUCAAAAAAUACAAUCUAAACAAAAUCUUAAUCUUUUUUUGAUGGUGGUAUAAAAUAAUUAUGAAUAUAUGUAAACCCCCGAGCAGAAACUAUGUAGUUUCUACAGGUGUCUAUUGUCUUAUAUAUAUAUAUAUAUGUAUUAUUUUUUACUAGAAGAAAUUCUCAAAAUAUUUUCACAUCUUCAUUUUAUUUUAAAUUAAAUAGAAAAUAAAAAAUUUCUAUUUCAAUUGAGCACAACCUGUCUUUUGUUGCCUCCCCAAAAAAAAAAAAAAAAAACAGAGCCAAAGCUUAUUGACAAUUUAUCCAAAAAUAUAUAUAUUUUAUUGAAAAUUUUUUAAGAGUACUUUUUGUGAUCACUUUUUGUUUUAUAUAAAUCAAAUGUUUAAAGAUGGCAAAAUAUUAUUUAUUUUUCUAAAAUUACUUCUUAAAACCGCAAUCCGAAUUUACACCUCAUAAUCCUAUCUCCCAAUUUAACCCAACAAGGCACAAUUAGAUGCCAAUUCUCAUUCUCAUCGCCAAAUACCACCAAAAUGCUGAUUAGAUUUGACCAACAAAAAAGGGGAUUAAAAAUAUGUACAAUACAUUAACCAUAAUCCACAUAGUCAACAAAAGAUAAAGUAGCCUCAGCUACCAAAAGCCGAAAAAAAAAGGGCCAAAAAAAAAACAAAAAGGAGCAGAGAAGUAAAAGUGAUUAAGCUAAAAAGUAAAAUCCACCCAAAAUUUGAUUUUACUUCACAAUUCAGUAGGUCGGAACGACGCCGUAAGACGCAUCAGCAACUAUUAACGAUUCAAUUUCAACUUCCGCCCGCUUCGCAAACCUUCCUUUAAUUCUGGGUCGGGUCUCCGCAUAGGCCUUUCUCGAAGCAUACCGAAUCGUCUUCUCGAAUUUUCUGUUCUUCCUUUUCUCCCUGUACCUUAAAACCCUCGCUUCUCUAUCCACGCCGGAGACCGGAUUCGUAACGGCAUCGCUCCUUGAGAAAUUGUUGGAUACAUCCGCCAUCGCAUUGUGGUCCGGUACGACCCCCACCUCCAUAGAAGACGAUGAAACCUGCCAAAAAAAAAAAUAAAUCAAAAUAAAUAAACUGAAUAUAUUAAUUUUUUUGGUCAAAACUGAAUAUAUUAACUGAUUGGCCUAAAAUAAAAAAAAAUAUCACAUACACUUUGGCUGAUGGAUUGAGAGCUGAAGUUGUACAUAAAACUUUUAGAUCCAGCAAAAUCCAUUUCAUAGGUGGGGAAUCCAUCCACAACUGGACCGGGUAAAUGGGUCGGAUCAUUCUUGUUCUGCACUGGAACAACUCCAUCGGAGUUAUGCUGGUGAACAUGAUUGUGAUGAUGGUUUUUGAUACUGCACGACAUGAGGCUUUUGAUCACUGGAUAUCAAAUCCAUAUCCAAAUAAGGAUCCAUAUCAGUAAACAAAUAGUCCGCAGUCUUGUACUCCGGACUAUCCGGUUCUAAAUCCUUAUUACAGUUCGGGUUAGGUAGCAGCCACGAAGCGGCUUCCGCUUCCUCGCCUCGCUGCCGAGGUCGAGCAAACAUUUCUCGUCGCUAGCUCCUGUACACCUGGCAGCCGAGGCCGAGUCGAAGAAGGGUGAUCGGAAUCCGCUCGUGGCGGCGGGCAAGCGGGUUUGCAGAGUGGAUGUCGCGGUCACAGGCGUUGCAUAGGGCUGCAGCAUCCGCCUUGCAAGUCACACUUGCAGGGGCUUGCUCGCAAACUUCGCAAACCCAACGCGCCCGUGGCGGGAGGCUAGCUUAUUCGCGGCGUGGAUUUUCGAGUCACAGGCAAGGGCAUAAAAAGCGGAGUCCGCCCGGCAGAACACGCUGGCCGACGUCGCUUGCACGAGUCACCGGCUUGGCCGUUAAACUCCAACCUUCUGCACCCAUUUUUUCGCCACUCUCUCUAUCUAAAAUUUUCUCUCACUAGAAAAUGAGAGAAGACGUGCUGUGUAGUGGUGACUGUUUUAAUUUUUCUUUAUUGCUUUUUCGGACAAUAAAGCGGGCAAUCACGAUUCCUAGUGGGCAGGGCAAUCCGGGUGAUCCAAUGGAGAUUCAACACGUGUAACAAGCUUAGCCAAAUACAAGGGCGUUUUAAUUAUGUUGGAAAAUGGAGGAUUGUCGUUAGUGUGAGGUGGGGAUGUCGUUUUUAUGGAGAUAGGUCCACAAGAUAAGAGACGUGUUAGUACAGAAGGGUCUGUUUGGAAUUUUGUCAAAUCUGUAUCAAAAUACUAAACCAGAAAAGUUGAUUGUGCUAUAGUGGGUCCCAAGGGAUUGCCGGUGUUUGGAAAUCGGAAUGGCGUGUGAUGUUUCUAGAGCUGUAUGGCUUUUGCCACAGUUGUAGGGCAUUUCUACAAGCGCAUUGUACCACUAAACCUUUUUUUUUUGUUGUCUACUUCUAUAUUUAUUUUUUGGGAGAAAAUAUAAGCAAAUACGUGAAUUUAAUUUGCUAAAUUUGCUCCGUAUUAAAGAUGGUAAGAAAGAUUGUGUAAUUUUGAAACAUUCCAUGUUAUGCGGUGUAAUAACGAUAAAAAAAGUUGGAUGCAUUAUGUGAAAACCGAAUAGAGUAUGAUUUUUUUUGUUUUAAUAAAAAGCAAAUUUCAUUAGUGGAUUGUUGAAAAUUGUCCCGCACAAUUUGAUUUGCAUUACUGCCAUAGUGAUAGAUUAAACAUGCAUUAGAAAUUAUAAUCUGCAACUUAACAAAUACAAUAGAUUUGGAAAAUAUAAAAAAUUUCAAAAUUAUAUUCUAAGUUAAUUCACUACAGUUUCCUUUUAUACAUGUUGCAAUCGACAGGUCUACUAAUCAACGGUCUUACCUCCAAUAAUGAUGAUAGAUUUGUCGAACUAAAUUCAAGAGCCAAGAAAAUUUCAGAUCUAACGAUCAGAUUUGAAAUAAAUUCAUAUUUAACAACAUAAUAAGAAAAAAAUACAAAAUCUCCAUAGGAUCCCCAGGAGAAAGAAAUUUCUCACUAAAAACUCCUAGAAAAAUAGAAACUCUCGUUACAAAAAUUUUGAAGAGACUUUAUUAGAAAAACAGACAAACGGGGAUUUAUGGAGGGAGACCAUGGUGUGAUUUUCCUGCUUUAGAGGAAGGUUUAUGAGAGGAUGACUACAGGAGGAAAAAAGUUGGAGAAGAGGAGAGCGGGGAGAAGGUUUGAAUGGAAUAUGGUUUUUUUUUUUAAAUCAAAUAUGUGAUGAAUGCAAAUUAAUGCAUUACCUUCCUAAUUCUCUAACCUUAAUGGAAUUUAGAAAUUCUAAAUCCUUUUUAGCCUUGUUUGGAUUCCAUUUUUGUGGAAAAAGUUUUUUUAUUUUCAUGAAAAUAUUUCUUAUCAAAUAUUUUAAUCACUUUUUUACCUUACAUAUAUAUCUUUAAAAAGUAUUACAAUAAAUUUUUUACAAAAGCUCUCAAAAAAUUACAAUUCAAACCAAAAAUAAGCUUGUCGAUGGCAAAUGCUAGCUUCUUGAAGAAAUAGAUUUCUUAUCCUAAUUCUUGUAUAUAUGUUUAGAUACAAAACUUGGGGCAUAAACCUACUUCAAAAUUUGCACAUAGAGGUGGAUUUCCUAUAAAUAUUGAUGUUUUUGACUUUAAUGCAUCAUCAUUAUUAUUAGUAUAAAAAAUGAUUCCAAACCUUAUAAAGGAAAAAAGAAAAGGAGAGACUUGAUGGUUUAACCAUGACCUCACAGUUAUGUCGCUAAUAUCCUACUAGUUAAAUUGAGCUUGAGAAGGCGUCAUUAUUCACUUACUUAUAUCAACCUGCUCCUGGACCAUGCUACUGAUGUUAUCUUAGUUUUAGGCACUAUUCACGGUACCAAUGAGUGGUUCUCAUGUUUUCAAUUCGUCAAUUUUUUUGACUCUUGCAGCAUGAAUAAUUAUUGGUCUUUCUUGAGGUUGUCAUGAUUGAGAGAAUCUUACCUAAAUUACUCUUUUGUGAGCAUUUAUUCAUUACGUACCGUAACACCUAGCUUUUGAUUGAGGAAUGGUCAACUUUCACCAACUCCACGUUUUAACACCUCCUUAUGUACCGUAGGAUAGAUUUGUGUCACAUUUCCAUGACCCAGUGCCUUAAAAACUUUGACCUGAUUGAUUAAAAAUUCGAUAACCACUGGACAAUGGUUCAGUGGCCAUCAGGAAGAGAUUUAAGUCUCUUUUUUCAGCGAAAAAAAUCUAAAAAUUGUGUUAUAAAACUUUCUUAGUCUAGUUGGGUCUGAAUAUCCACUAGCCCCCUUCCACAGCCUCCUUAGACUCGCCCUCCUCCCUAGAUUAGGAUAGAGUAUGUUAUACAAAUGUAUCGUUGCUGAAAAAAAAAGAUUAAAAAUUUGACCAAUAAAACAGUUGCCAUAAAGAUCUUUCUUCUUUUAUUAACCGCAACAAAAUUUGGGAUACUCUAUAUUAAAUAAAAAAACUCAAGAACAUAUCUAGUAGCAUUUGUUGAUUGAAAAUCAAUUCAACUUCAAUGACAAAUUAUAACAACCUUAAUCGAUUUGAAAAGACAAAGCAAAUCAACAAUUUCAGAUCCAUUCAUCUCUGAUCAGCUUGCUUUACAAAAUCCACUAGCGAGGAGGCCAGCGGCUUUUCAUUCAACGGUACUUGAUUAACCCAAUAUCCGUAGCCUUGCUGCAGAAGUAUCUUGUGUAACAGAUUACUGAAGGCAAACGUUGUAAGAAAUCGUACUGUUUUAGAAUUUUGUGUUUCUUCAUAGAAUUGAUUAGCUACACUUAAUAUUAGAAUCUUAUAAAAUUUGAUAACAUGAUCAAAACAAUAAUUAUCUAAUAGAACGAUUGAAAAUUUUUGUUGUUCAAUGUGUAGAAUAAAUUGACAAGCUGUGCAAUUAAGUUGCUUAAACACACACCCCAUGUAAAUUCGUGAUUCGUCUUCCUUGUUAUACUUUCAUCAAAUUAGUUGAUCUAUCUUCUCACAAUAUUGAAAGGCGCCCAUUUUUGAAGAUCAAAUAAUGUUUUCAUAAAUAUCUAUAAAUGAAAGAAGGCAUGUGUUCCAAGAUAAUAAAUUUUGAGGUGCUGAAUUUUGAGGGUUUAUUAUAAGGUGUUGGGUCUUAGCAGCGCAACUAACCAAAGUUUGAAGGGAGAGAGAAGGGGGGGGGGGAGGAGGGGAGAAGGGAGAUAAAAGGUAUCGAGCUUAAAUCUAUACUCUUGAGUUGAUUACUAUUCUUGUGGACAAAUGGUUUCCUAUAUGUACGCAAAGGAGCUUGUGGAUUAUUGUUCACAAGAUUUCAUCCACCCCUUUUAGGGUUAUCUUAAUAAUUUAAACUAUUUUUGUUAAAUAGCUUAAGUAAAUUGUACAAAAAUACAAUGUGCGGGUUGGUGAAAAAUGGCCUUUGCAACUUACAUGCACUAAUAUAAUUUUUGUGCAUGUGUCAAUGCAUUAUUAGAGGUUAGUAUUCAUGCAGAAUUACUUGUUUGCCCUUAAAUGUGAUUGGUAAGUUGUCUAUGUAGGCAUUUUUUUAAAAAAAAUUUUUCUUUUAUGGGGUUAAUACCACUUUGUUCCCCCAAACUUUGGACGAUUACCCACUUCAGUCCCUAAACUUCAAAAUGGAACACUUAAGUCCCUAAACUUAUAAAUAGCUCCACGUAAGGAAAAUGGUUAACAAAUCCUGAAUGCCGUUGAUGGUCAAAGUGUCCCAUUUUAUAAGGGUUUAGGGAUUUAAGUGUCCCAUUUUAUAAGUUUAGGGACUUAAGUGGGAGGUAUUUAUAAGUUCAGGGACUUAAGUGUCUCAUUUUGAAGUUUAGGGAUUGAAGUGGGUAAUCGUCCAAAGUUUGGAGGGACAAAGUGAAAUUAACACUCUUUUAUGCUAUAGGGGAAGGGAAGAGUCCAACUAGCCUUGUAUUGGACUGGACCUCCAGACUAUAUAUGAUAGAUAGUUUUUGUGGAUGCAAACUAAUCAUUCAAAGUUUUUGAGACGCAAUUAGUUUGAACUAGGGAAGUUAUUUAUUUUGCUAUCCAUUACAUAUGUAACUGUUCUGCUUCAAAUUCUUCCAUUUCACUAAGCUGAAAUGCAGGCUUGUUAAUUUUUUUUUUGCCCUUUUAAGUUGACUAAAUUUUCUGCAUUGCCCUCAUACCCAUUCUCCUACUUUGUCUCUUUCUGCUUUUGUGUAUUUGAAUCACGCUUUUGUGUUCUUUAAUUUUUCCUCUUUUUUUUUUAAGUUUGGUGUAGCUAUUUGUCGUUCUUUUUUACAGGGUUUACAUGUAUUGUAAAUCCAGCUUUUGCAAGAGAUAGAUUCAACUUCCUAUUUUUGUAACUCUGACAUUUAUUUAGGUUUAUGAUCUUUGCAUUGGUUGUUUUGGGCCUUACAGGCUUAUAAGCUUCUAAUUGGCUUGAUUGAGGGGUAUUGUGGCCCUAAUUGAGUAUAUUUACUAGCCGAUAAAUUGUAGGUAAAAAUGGAGUUGAAUUGAGAUAUAUUUGGUAUUAAAUGGUAGGUUGGAAAUGUGUUAAAUUAAGGGGUAAUGCUGUCCCAUUUUUGGAGGGUAUUUGAUUGAUUUGAAUUUGAGUGAUCUUGAUUCAUUUUAUGGCAAUUUUUGUGAAUUGGAAGUUGGACUGUUAAGAGUCCAUAUUAGUGACGUUUCUAAACUUUGUUUAAGUUAAUUCAUCCUUGUUUUGGCCUGUACAUGAUUAGUAUAGACUAGUCUCAUGUUAAGUGGGGAUUUCUAGCCCUAAUUGUGAUUAGUGAUGGUCAUAUGCAAAGGUCGGUUCAAGAAGAGUAAUUUCAGUUUUUUUCCCUGUUUCUGGACUGAACUUGGACUGCCAUUUUCUCUGUACUGCAGACCGAAUCAACUUUUGUUCAAAACAUGAAACUUGUAGAUAUAUGAGUUAACUACCUACCUACAAAAUUUCAGAUUGUUUGGAUCUCUGUAGCCUGUGAAAUGACUGAAUUACCCCUGACUGUUCAUAGACCCUGUUUUGCGGACAGUUUUCUGUCCUCUCCUAGAUUUCGAUAUUUGACCCUGGAAUUGUACGUUUUGACUUUGGAAGUCUUCAUAAGAAAUGUUGGUAUAUGUCUUAGCUUCGUAACGCCAUAAGAUUCGUUUUGAUCGGAUAAGCGUAGCUUUACUUGUGAUUAAAAUGCCAAAAGGCAAUAGAAGCUUGUUAAUAUUAGAAUUUCCUUUGCUUGACUUGAUAUUUGUAAUUUAGGGCUUCGACUUGAGCAAGGCCAUGAGGUACGAUGGAUGGUUCCUGAGCUGUGUUUGGGUGAGUGAUCUCUCAACUAUUUCCCAACAGUGAUUUUGAAAUAAUUCCUGCAUUGAUUACACGAUUGCAUAUCAUUGUGUUUGUGUGUGUGCCAUGACAUUUUGGCUCCGAUGAGUUCUUGGGAAAAUCUUGUGCUUAGAACCAACGUCUCUCCUCCUGUAUACGCAUUCUUUGGAGCUCGAUGGCUCCUUAUUUCUGGUUAAUUGGUACUUGAUCUAAGGGAGCGUUGGAUAUUUAAGUACAAGGAUUUCACUGGCUCCAAAGAGCAAAAUACGCAUCUUGGAUCACUGAUUCAUGACAUCAUUUACAUGCAUUAUUGUAAAGUUUAUUUGAUUACUGAGUUUAAUGUUCACUCACUGAGCUUUUAGCUCAUCCCAAAUGUUUUUCUUUUCCCCAGAGGGAUCGAGGCAAAGGAAACGCUUGUAUUACGUUAUGUGUAUGACCGGAUGGCAUGUAACUUGUAUAGUUUAGAUUUGGAUUCGUUUGUGUAAUUGUUGGGUUAGGGUGACUGUUUGAAAUUGGAAUGGAUGGAUUAUACCUUGUACGGUUUGAAUUUGGAUUGCCUCUUGUGUAAUAGCUUAGUAGUAGGGUUUGUAAUGAAUGAUUGGACUUGAAUGGAUGUACGUGUACAUUCCGCUGCGUUUGUGAUAUGUAAUUCUUGGAGAAUUUGAUGUAUAUAUUUGAGAUUUAUAUUGUAGUUUAUUGGAGAACUGUAGUGAUUGACCGAGUCCUGGCGAGAGUUAGGCAGGCGUCCCGGCGAACCCUCUGGUUCGCCUUAGGGGGAGGUGGGGUCGUCACAAGUGGUAUCAAAGCUUAGGCUUCAGAUCUCUGUAGCGUAUCCUAGGCUUAAAGUUUAGGAUGCCUGACUAUGAGAUUAAUUUGAAUAUUAUGUGAACAAGGAUCCAUUGUAUCUUAGGGGUUAAAGGAAUUGAUUAUUUGGGAGUUCUUAUUUGGGACUUGCAGAAGAAACUGAGGAUUUAGGUGAUGUUAUAUUGAAGGAAGAUAUGAGAUAAGAGAUUUGCAAUGAAAGACUGGACGAAUUUGAAUUAUCAGUAUAUUUGUAAGUGUGGAAAGAAUUGAGAUAAUUAUUAGUAUUGGCUAUGGAGGAUAAGAGACCGAGAUUUGAUAGUCAAACACCACGUAUGAUGAUUUUGAACCAAGAUAAAAGUACAAAAGAAUAAAAUGCAUUUUCCGCCCACAUACCUUCUAAAGAAAUUUUGCUUUGGGAUUUUAAAGAAAAACUAGGAUGUACUAGUUUUAUUUGUAAGCGAUGAGUGGAAAUAAGAUAUAUAUAUUUUAAAUAUGUGUAAUUUUCCGAUUUUGGUAAAAAGGUGAAUUUUACUUGAAUUUCAAACUUGAAAACUUGUGAAUAACUGAUGAGUUGUUGUAUUUUGUAUAUGAUGGGUUAAUACAAGGUUAACAUUUUCUAAACUAAGUUUUCCCUCUUGAUUGUAUAUUGGUGUAUUCUCACACUUGAAUUUGUCCAUGCUUUAUACGAAGAAAAAUAUAUAUAUAUCCUGAGUUUUCGAAAGAAUGGCAAGCUUAUGUUUAAUAAUGUGAAUCCUGAACUUGAUAAGAUUUCUGAUUAUUUUAAAUACUCUUCUUAUGUUUUAAAAAUUCUUGACUUUCAAGAAGAGUGAGCCAAUUUUUUAAAAUGUACGGACUGAGGGACUUUGAGAUAUAGAGUGACUGUAUUCAAGAGUACGAAGUUAGUGAGCCUAUUUGACCUGGUUUCCAUUUGACACGUAAGUUAGCAAGUUGUACUCAUUUCUUGGGUUUGAACUUGGAACUUGAGACUUUACUAUGGAACCUAAGAUUGGUUAUUCUUGGAGAUGAUAGUGCUUUUGCUGGUCGCUUGUUUAUUACAGAUUUUGAACUCCGAAUGGAUAAUCUUGGUUUCAGCUUGCGUUAUGGAUUGAUUGGAUCUACUUUCGUAAGGGUAUGUGAUUUGAUUGAAAUUAGCAAUAAUUGGACCCUUUGGUUUAACUAUAGCCUUAGAAAGGGUAGUGCACGCUGUGAGGCUUUGGUAUCCUGCUUACAUAUGCUUUUAUCUGUUGUGACACUUAAUUGCCUAUAUACAAUAUCUGACAUAAUUUUGUGACUUUGAGCUCGUGCUAUAAUUUUGAUACCUGUAAAGAAUCAUGUCCUGAUUCAAAAAAUUUUAUAACUUGUAUAUGUAUUAAGCUCUUUUCUGCUUAAUUAUGCCUUGUCCUGUGAUUAUAGACUUUUAUUAAGUAGGGUAGCAGGAAUGAGAAAAGGGGACCGUGGCCGAGGGCUUAGACAACCCUGUACUUGUGAGACAAAUUUAAUAGGUCCCUAGUACUGAAUAUGAGUCGAAAAUAAAUCCGAAAAUCAGAUCUACUAGUGUAUAAUGGAUUAACCUAGUCGGAAACUUGAUGAGAUUUUCUUGUGCGCAACAUAUGUUAUGAUUGGUUCUGUGCCAAUAUUUCAAUCUUAGGAAGUCUGAACUCCGAAAGUAUUGCAUUGGGUUGGUAAGAGAACUCGAACUGUCUGAAACCGAUUAGACUGAGCUUACUUGAGACUUGAACCUGUUUAGGCUAGUGUGCCCUUACGUACCCUUAAUGGACCUAAUUUGACUGAAUAUAUGGAAUGUGAUCAGUAUGUAACCUGAAUGUGGACUUGAAUUUUGUGACUGUUUAAGAAUGUGAAUUGUCGGACAGAGGCUAGGCCAGGGUGUUCUUACUCGCACUCAUGAUCCUUGAACUUGAACUUAUGUUUUUAUUCAUACUCGUGUACCAUGAAUCUGAAGUAAUUGGUUCUGCUUUAACCCUACUCUUGAACUCAUUCGUACUUGUGUGGUUGUGGACCGGCUACUACUCUUCUGUAGCGGUUGAACUGAACCUCUCUGGUGGGGCAUUGCCUGUUGUGUUGUCCAGCACCGCCAGGGACAAAUACUUGAACUGAGGCUUUUGGUGAAGUUUAGCCGUUGUGCUAACUUGUUGUGUUGUCCAGCACCACCAGGGCCAACUUACUGAACUGAAAUUCUUUGGUGAAGCAUAGCCGUUGUGCUAGCUUGUUGUGUUGUCCAGCACCACCAGGGAUGAAUUUUUCGAUUUGAAGCUUCGCUAUAUCCUGAAUUUCUUCCAAAUAUCUGGGACUUUACGUCCGACUUCAAGCCUUUUGCCUGUUUUAUCUGGUUACGCAAUUAACUCCCUAUUGGACCAUGACUAUUUGAUAGGUUGGAUUGGCGUGAUAUGUAGUACUUGAACCUGAUAAGUGGUUAUUAAAUAAGCCAUGCUUUACUGGAUCAUGAAGUACGAUAAGUGAGAUUAGAAUGAUUCCUAGUAUUUGACCGACUUUGGGGAAAACAAAUUGGACCUGGUGAAUACAAGUUGGAGUAGAUUGAAUCCUAAUGCUUGAUUGGUUUCUAAGCGAUAUCUUGACCGGUUAUAUCUGAGUGGGAAUGUCGAGGACAACAUUUUUUUAAGGGGGGAAGAUUGUGACGCCCAGAAAAAAAUAGGGUUUUCAUUUUUUUUGUAUAUUUUGUUGGACGAGCGGAGUAAUACAGUUUUCAACUCGGAAAAGAAAAGAAAAGUUUCAAAAAAUGGCAGUGGCCAAAUCCGGCCUGAAAUCCGGCCAGUUUCUGGCCGGAUUGCCGUGCAGUUUUGAAAAAAUUUUGAUCAGCCUCGGCCUUGUAUCCGGUCGGAUUGUGACGUGUCACAGCCGGUCAGAAGGUUUGACCGGCUGUUUCUUUCAUAAAUAUCUUGUUUUGGUUGGCUUUUGUCUUUAUUUUUGCUGCUGCUCAACCGAGGCCUUUGGGGAAGAAAACCUCUUCAUUUUUUCCAACUUCAAUUUCUACCAAAAUCUUGUGAUUUCACCGAUGGUUUUGGAAGCUACUUCACACAAGGGUGCACUAUGGUCGUUUAAAGCUUUUGAUGGAUUGGUUUUGAAGGGGAAGCUUUAGUUUGAUAGCUCUCUUGAAUUUGAGGUAAGUUGGUUAUACAAGUUUCUUUUGUUCUAGUAUUGGUUAAUUAAUGGUUUGUAGUGGCCAUGUGUGGUAUUUCAUGGGUUGAAGGAAGUUGUGGUGAAUUUCUGAUUUAUUGGGUAUUUUUCUAAUUUAAUAUGAUUCUGGUUAGUUGGUCUUGAAUUGAUGGAUUGUUAUGGUGUUAAAUGGACUCUUGAUACGUUAAUUGCGGAAAAUUUCCGCCUAUGGUAUAAUUUUCAAUUUCUAGGGUUUCAUUUGGGGAAUUUUCUGGUUAUAUAUUAUAAUCAUGGAUUGGCCUUGAAUUGAUAGCUCUAAAUGGUGUAAAAAUGGAGCUUGUAUACGUUGGAUACGAUUGUGCGGAAAAUUUCUGAUUUGUGGGGUGAAUUUCCGGUUUCUAGGGUUUCGAUUUGGGAAUUUUCAAUGGUUGGCUUAUAAGCUUCUAAUUGGCUUGAUUGAGGGGUAUUGUGGCCCUAAUUGAGUAUAUUUACUAGCCGAUAAAUUGUAGGUAAAAAUGGAGUUGAAUUGAGAUAUAUUUGGUAUUAAAUGGUAGGUUGGAAAUGUGUUAAAUUAAGGGGUAAUGCUGUCCCAUUUUUGGAGGGUAUUUGAUUGAUUUGAAUUUGAGUGAUCUUGAUUCAUUUUAUGGCAAUUUUUGUGAAUUGGAAGUUGGACUGUUAAGAGUCCAUAUUAGUGACGUUUCUAAACUUUGUUUAAGUUAAUUCAUCCUUGUUUUGGCCUGUACAUGAUUAGUAUAGACUAGUCUCAUGUUAAGUGGGGAUUUCUAGCCCUAAUUGUGAUUAGUGAUGGUCAUAUGCAAAGGUCGGUUCAAGAAGAGUAAUUUCAGUUUUUUUCCCUGUUUCUGGACUGAACUUGGACUGCCAUUUUCUCUGUACUGCAGACCGAAUCAACUUUUGUUCAAAACAUGAAACUUGUAGAUAUAUGAGUUAACUACCUACCUACAAAAUUUCAGAUUGUUUGGAUCUCUGUAGCCUGUGAAAUGAUUGAAUUACCCCUGACUAUUCAUAGACCCUGUUUUGCGGACAGUUUUCUGUCCUCUCCUAGAUUUCGAUAUUUGACCCUGGAAUUGUACGUUUUGACUUUGGAAGUCUUCAUAAGAAAUGUUGGUAUAUGUCUUAGCUUCGUAACGCCAUAAGAUUCGUUUUGAUCGGAUAAGCGUAGCUUUACUUGUGAUUAAAAUGCCAAAAGGCAAUAGAAGCUUGUUAAUAUUAGAAUUUCCUUUGCUUGACUUGAUAUUUGUAAUUUAGGGCUUCGACUUGAGCAAGGCCAUGAGGUACGAUGGAUGGUUCCUGAGCUGUGUUUGGGUGAGUGAUCUCUCAACUAUUUCCCAACAGUGAUUUUGAAAUAAUUCCUGCAUUGAUUACACGAUUGCAUAUCAUUGUGUUUGUGUGUGUGCCAUGACAUUUUGGCUCCGAUGAGUUCUUGGGAAAAUCUUGUGCUUAGAACCAACGUCUCCCCUCCUGUAUACGCAUUCUUUGGAGCUCGAUGGCUCCUUAUUUCUGGUUAAUUGGUACUUGAUCUAAGGGAGCGUUGGAUAUUUAAGUACAAGGAUUUCACUGGCUCCAAAGAGCAAAAUACGCAUCUUGGAUCACUGAUUCAUGACAUCAUUUACAUGCAUUAUUGUAAAGUUUAUUUGAUUACUGAGUUUAAUGUUCACUCGCUGAGCUUUUAGCUUACCCCAAAUGGUUUUCUUUUCCCCAGAGGGAUCGAGGCAAAGGAAACGCUUGUAUUACGUUAUAUGUAUGACCGGAUGACAUGUAACUUAUAUAGUUUAGAUUUGGAUUCGUUUGUGUAAUUGUUGGGUUAGGGUGACUGUUUGAAAUUGGAAUGGAUGGAUUAUACCUUGUACGGUUUGAAUUUGGAUUGCCUCUUGUGUAAUAGCUUAGUAAUAGGGUUUGUAAUGAAUGAUUGGACUUGAAUGGAUGUACGUGUACAUUCCGCUGCGUUUGUGAUAUGUAAUUCUUGGAGAAUUUGAUGUAUAUAUUUGAGAUUUAUGUUGUAGUUUAUUGGAGAACUAUAGUGAUUGAUCGAGUCCUGGCGAGAGUUAGGUAGGCGGCCCGGCGAACCCUCUGGUUCGCCUUAGGGGGAGGUGGGGUCGUCACAUAUUUCUUAUCUUAUCUUAUAAGAUAUAAGACCGUGUUUAGGACCAGUGUCAACUGCUUGUUUGUAGGGUUGUUUUUGUGAUACGAAAUGGAAAAUUAGCAAUACCCUUCAUGUAUCAAUCAAAGUUCAAUACUGAUUUUGAAACUUUAAGAUGUUCUAAUCUGAGUUUUUGAUUCAAGUGAAGAAGUUUGAGAGCUAGCGCGAGUUCUUGAAGGUCACAGUUGGUUGGUUUAAUUGUUUGGCAAGUUAGGUUAUUUGGGGUUUAAUCGUCAAUUUUCCUUGCUAAUUUAGUUGUUUAUUUACCUUAAUUACUUCGGCGAAGUUGUGUCAAUUGGAAGGCCGACUUCUUUAGUGUUAGUUUAGGAAAAUAAGUGAUUCCAAAUCACAUUAGGUUUUCUAGACAAUUCUAAAUUACAUUAGGUUUUGAGUCCAUGUAAGGCUAUAAAUAGCCAAACACUUUCAUCAUUUGAGUAGUUUGAAUAUAUCAGAAUUUUGUGUGUUAAACACCUUUUCUCUUGUCCAAGAGAGUUUCUUUUGAAUACUUGAGAAUUACUUGAGAGUAUUCAACUACCUUAUCAAUCAAGUAUACACCUUGGUUGUGGCGCUCUUCUACCUUUAACAUUGGUUCACUAAAUCAUUCGAUUAUGGGUUGAAAUUCAAUUCAAGACUCUCAAUUCUAGGGUUCAUAAUGAACUCGUAUCCCACACAGUCUGGAUUGCGAACCUUCUAAACCCUAGGAUUACGAACCUUGUAUCAAAUUCAAAACAUCUCAAUUACAUUUUCUCACCUCGUAUCACCCAACUCACCCCUUCCUCUUAACUCUUAUUAUAAUGUUAAACAACUAAGGUAUCUGAAUUUAUUUUUUCAGCAAAAAUAGAAAGGCAGCAAUGCCAUUUUAGUCAUUCCUAGAUAAAUUACUUUUCCAAUAUUUGAUCAGCCUUCAUGGGGCAAUGCAUUGCUCUUAAGCUUUAGAGUGGUACAUGUGAUUAUUUCGCAAGUUUAGGAGGUAAACCAUAAUUAAUCCUAAAUCAUUUUUUACCAGAUAUGCAAAUCAUUACGUUCAUUAGCAAAAAAAAAGAACCCAAAUAUAUUUGUCUUUACACCAUAAAAUCUAAGGAUUUUAGUAGGAUCACAAACAUUGUAAUUUUGUAAGUUACAAACAUAUGUAAAACGCUCUUAAUCAUUGCUUGUAUCGACUAAGGUUUUAAAGAUUUGUAAAAGAGUAUAAAAAAUUAGGACAAAUCUUUCAUGCCCUGAUAAUGUAUACACUAACGGGUCUAAAUGUAUGCUACAUAUACAAAAAUUUGAUGUUCAAUUCAAAUUGAAAUGAUAUGUCAUGCAUCCAAACCCAUUAAUAUAUAUGUUGAUAGCAUAAAAAAGAUUAAUUCUAAAAAGUAGGGGUUGAAAUGUCUAAAAUAUAGGGAUAAAAAGAUGAAAUAGCGGUGAACUUGAGAAAAAUAGUGAUUAAAAGUAGUUGUCAAAAUCAAUUUUUAAAAUCAUAGCAUCUACAACAUCCCUAUUCCCCAACAUCUAAAUCCAACAAUCCCAAAACUUUCCCUUCAGAUCAAUUUUACUACCAAAUAGAGUUCCCACAACUAGUUCGAAUACAAAGAUAAAAGAGUGAGAUGAGUGGUAAAGUAUGAGAAAUUGCAAAUAAAAAAUCCUAGAUUCAAAACCUUCCAUUUAUAAGGGGGGAGGGAGGGGGUGAGAGGGGGAGAGAGAGAGAGAGGGAUUAAUUAUCUUUUAGUCCCCUGUAGUUUAGUGCUUUACCCCAUAGUCUCCUCAUGGUUUAAAAAUGUAUAUAUAAACUUCUCACAAUUUGGGUUGAAGUAUCACCAUUAUUUUUCUGUUAAAACUAACGAUCAAUAGUAAAAAACUAAAAUCAAACUAAUAAAUUGACAAAUUCACCAAAUACAAAAGAGAUAGAGGGGAAAUAAAAAAUAAAUACAUAAGAAACAAAAAAAGAUAAAGUAGAAAUAUAAAACAAAUAAAUAAGAAAUGAAAAAUACCAAUUCUUUUUUGACUACCAAUAUCAUUAUAGGUUUCUAAACCAAAUCUUUAAUGGUAUUUUCUAUUUCUUAGUUAUCUAUUUUUAUUUCAAUUUCUUCAUUUUUAUGUUUGAAAGAAAAAAGGCAGUAAUGAAAGGGUAAAUUUAUCAAUUUAUUAGUUUGAUUUUGAUUUUUUAUUAUUAACCCAAACUAUGAGAGAUUUAUAUAUAAGUUUUUAAAAUAUGGGGGUUAUAUAGUAAAAUACUAAACUACAAAUAGUAAAAGGAAUUUACCCAAAAUAAUUUAAAAAAAAGAACGAAAAAGAAUUGUGACAUGCUUAAAUCAUCAAAUACUACUUUCCAUAUAUGACUUAUCACGUUAAAACGAGAAUCUCUAAUGUGUGGAAAUGAACUCAAUGCCAUUUUCCCUUCGGACUUGCACCACUCCCAUAAACCGCUACAUCCUUACAUCCACUCCCAGAUUAGUAGUCAAUCAGAAUUUGCGCAACGCUGAAUCUUCUGUUAUAAAGUUUUCGAGCAACCGAAACAGUAGUUUCGAUGCAAAUUCAAAAGAACCGAGCAUAAGCUCAGGUAUAUGCAGCAGAAGAGGAGCAAUUGGCAUUGGUCUUUGCUUCAGUUUGGUUGAGUUCAUCCUACAGCCGGAACCAACUGCUGCUGCAGAAGCCACCCCCUGUGAAUUCACUGAAACCCCUUCAGGACUUGCAUUCUGUGACAAGGUUUCGGGCGACGGCCCUCAAGCUGAAAAGGGACAACUCAUUAAGGUAAGUUCAAGAUUGUUGAUGAAUAUUCCAUCAAUAAAGUCAUGUACAGAGUCAAAUUCUGUUUUACUGGUAGUUUUCUGAACCCAGUAAUCUUCUUAUUUCUGUUUCUUAGUUUGGCUGCUUAUCUGUUGUUGUUAAUUGACUGAGUUGAUUGUUCGAAAAUUGGUGAGUGUUUUAGAAUGCUUUUGAGGAUUUUAAGUGUUAGACUAUCAAUUUUGUAAUUUCCAGUCACCUUAAUUCAUCAAAGAAAAGGAAAUGUACACCAGUUGGGAAGUGUAGUUAGAAAUCCCUUUGGAAAAUUAAGAAAAGGGUUUUGAAGAAUUGUUAAAAUCUUUCUGCUCAAUUUGAUUCCUUUCCACUUGUACUGAAAGAAUUGUUUUCAACAAGAGUAAAGAAAUACUCUAAAACCAAUUGAUAAGAAUAGAACAGAAUGGCUUAGAUGCUGCACAGAUGAUUUCUUGAAUGUUGAAAAUGAUUUUAUCGAAUUCUAUUCGGUGAAUAAAAAUAGUAAAGAGACGGUGAAGAGAUUGAUUUUUUGCUGUUGAUGCCUUUCAUGCCGGGGUAACAUGUCAAAUCACCAAUGCUUCGAGAAAAUGAUGCACCAUACGCACUAAAGUGGUUAAUGUGACCAACUUUCUACAAGUUUCUUACUAACGAAAUUUAUGCAGGCACAUUACACAGGGAAAUUGGUGAAUGGGACAGUCUUUGAUAGCAGUUACAAUCGGGGAAAGCCUCUUACAUUUCGUGUUGGUGUUGGUGAGGUAAGUACAUAUUCACAGAUUCCGAUGGUCAUGGGGAUCACAGAACUGUUUCUCUUUAAUUGUAUGCUUAUAACAGUAUAAAACUUGACUGUUAGUUAUAGUGGUUAUCAUUGAUUAGCAAAAUUAGUUAAGAAUCUACCACUUACUUUAAACAGUGCUAAGGGAGAACCAGAACUAACUUAACAUAUAAAACUGCCAGGACAUUUUAAGCGAUCUUAGAUAGAACUAGCUCCACGUGGUCCUCAGCUUGCUGGUUUCCAAAUAACUUGUUAUGGUAAUGUUCUACUCCUAAACUUGUACAAGCAAAGGUUGAUAAGGUUAUGAUAACCGAUGAACUUGCUAGAAGUACAUAAUCAACCAAUUAUGGGUUCGACUACUUUUUCAGCUUGAGUCCUUCAGGCCACUUAUUACAUCAAGAUUUGACUGAGGUUUUAGGUUAUUCUUGAUAAAUGAGAUCAUACCACAAAAUGCAGAAGGUUAGCCAUGGUCCUUCCUUCAAGUGAUAUGGCUGUAUGACAAUAGCUAAAUUGGGACUUGAGGUUGCACUUGAGUUUUUUCAAACAAAAAGUUGCAGUUUUUAUAUAUUAAGCCACGUAGUCCUACCGGUUUCCUAGCAUUAUCUAGCCAGAUAGAAGGCUGAAAAUGUACUUAUAAAUUGGUGUCAAAGAAGAACUACUUAUAAAAUUUUGGAGGGUGUGUUUAUUGUAAAGCCACCCGAACUUAAAUUCUGAACUUAAAAUCAGCUUCUGCUCAGUUAAAUUGGUGUGAUGUGUAUUCAGUAUUUUAUGAAUCCAUACAGAUCAGUUUGCAAACAGGUCCAAGUUACACUGCCAUUCAUUCAACUUGAACUGCAGACUUAACUCAGAACGAAUAAACUGUUGAACUCUGAAAUGGAAAUUGAGUUAAUAUUCAGGGACAAAUGCAUUUCCAUUUUGUCUUCCACUCUUCCUUCUACAGCAUCUGUAUGUUGUGUGAGGUUCUGUACUGCUGUGGUACUAGUUCUAACUUGUUUUUGACACAGACCUGGAGCUGCACUUCAUGGUAUCCAUAAGAGAUACCCGAAUGUAAUACCCAACUAUCAGUCAAAAUUUUUGGACACCAUGUCAUUAAGCUGUAUAUUGUGCAUUUUCUUAUUAUACAAGGGAGGGGAUGGGGUAAGGAAGACUUGCAUUUAUCUUGCUGGUAAUCUCAUAAAUACAGUAUACUUGAGGACACAUUGACAAAGAAAAGAAAUUACUGUGAUUUUGGUUUUUUUUUAUCUAACAUGGCAAUUAAGGAAGACUUGUAUUUAUCUUGCUGGUAAUCUCAUAAAUACAGUAUACUUGAGGACACAUUGACAAAGAAAAGAAAUUACUGUGAUUUUGGUUUUUUUUAUCUAACAUGGCAAUCUCUAAUUUUUACAAUAUGUUCUUAAAACUGUUCUAAACAAAAAACCAUAACAAUAGAGUCCUAGCUUUGAAAGCUCUGCAGUCUUCAUUUACUCAUUCAACUCUAGGUCGUUCCUGGAAAACAUUAAGUAUUACAUCAACUUUUGAUGCCACUCAAGUAUUUUCAAUCUAAAAUAGCUCAUCUAUGUUGAUCAACCUUGUUAUCACAUCCUUUGCCUUGAGUUCUCUUGCCAAAUCAGUAACAAGGGACUGAUUAAGAUAAACAUAUUUUAUGGGCCUGCAAAAUGCAUGCCCCAGGAUUUUGUAGGGGCAACAAAUUAAGAUGCCUUUUACUAUAACUGGAGGCUAACUUUCAGCCAGAAUAUCUUGGCUUCCCUUUUUUCCGAGGAGAUUAUUAAACUCCCUUAGUUGCUCGUGUCAGUGACUCUUUGAAUUUACACAUGUAACAGUCUUACUGAUUAUCAGAAAUAACUGGAUGCUGAUCACAAACAUGUUCCUUUCUGAUGCUCAUCUAGUUGACAUGAAAUCCAUUCUCUAUGUUAAUUUAGGUAAUCAAAGGCUGGGAUCAGGGCAUUCUAGGUGGUGAUGGGGUUCCCCCGAUGUUGACUGGUAUGAAUACAGUUACUCUGGUACUGUUGUCCAAUAUAUCAAGCAUCAUCUAACAACUCACUGAUAGCAAUAUCUCAUACAGGAGGUAAAAGGACCCUGAAAAUUCCUCCAGAACUUGCAUAUGGUGCAAGAGGCGCUGGCUGUAGAGGUGGUAAGUAACUAUCACUUCCAUCUAAAUAGCUGCAUAGUCCAUGGAACCUGCAUAUUCCUGAUUGGCAAUUGAUGGUUCCAUAAUAUAUUGGAGAAUAUUCUCUGAUCUAUUUUCUUGAUUUUUGUAGGUACUUGUAUUAUUCCCCCAAACUCUGUUCUUCUGUUUGAUGUUGAGUUCGUUGGAAAGGCUUAGCAAAUGAGCAGUAUAUGCUCAUACUCCAACACAGAAUCUUUUGAAACUUGUUAUCUUUUCUGCUUUUAAAGUGUUUUCGAAGGAUGAUGAAGGAUGAUAUAUUACUUUGCUUCUUUAUUUCUGUUAUGGAGGUCCUGAGAUAUCCUGCUACAAGAUUUUCCAAUUUAGGGGGAAAAUAAUGAAAAAGUUACCCGCUGAAGCCAGUUGACAUGGUGCAUGAACGGAGAUUCAUAAAAUACUUAUCCUUUUACUCAAAUUUCCAUUGAAUUGCACUAAUAUUUCCAUGAUUACGGCAAACUUUAGAACAGUCUUUAUGUGUGAGACUCGAACCCCCAUCCCAUAUUGGAAGAAAGGAAAGGAAAGGAAUAGUUAUUAGCUUGGGUCCAAAGGCUACUAAAAAAUUUGGGUUUGUAAAUUUUGUCCAAAAGUUGCUUGGGCCAGUCUUUGGCACCGGGUCAUGACAAAUGGUAUCAGAGUGGCCUUACAUAUUGCGUGGGGUGAGCCUAGUUUAAUGUAUUAUGGUUCCGACUACGCAAAACCAUCAAGGUGAACAUAGACUAGUGUGUUAUAGUUUCGAUUUCACAAGGAAGUGCAAGGAACUGUGUGCCAUGUACAAGACAAGUGUGUAGUUUGUUAUGGUUCUGACCAUGUAAGAUCACGCGAGGUGAAUCUAGGCUAAUGUGUUAUGAUUCCAAUUGUGCAAGAAAGUGCAAGGAAACGCAUGCCAUGUACGGGCCAAUGUGUAGUGUGGUAUGGUUCUGACUAUGCAAGACCACACGAGGUGAACCUAGAUUAGUAUGUUAUACUUUCGACUACACAAGGAUGUACAAAAUGCAUGCCACGUACGGGGCCAAUGUGUAGUGUGUAUGGUUCUGACUAUGCAAGACCAUUCGAGGUGAACCUAAACUAGUGUGUUAUGGUUCCGACUUCACAAGGAAGUGCAAUGAACUGCAUGCUACGUACAAGACAAGUGUGUAGUUUGCUAUGGUUCCGACUAUGUAAGAUCACACGAAGUGAAUCUAGGCUAGUAUAUUAUGAUUCCAAUUAUGCAAGAAAGUGCAAGGAAAUGCAUGCCAUGUACGGGGUCAAUGUGUAGUGUGGUAUGGUUCUGACUACGCAAGACCACACGAGAUGAACCUAGACUAGUGUGUUUUGGUUUUGAUUAUGCAAGGAAAUACAAAAUACAUGCCAUGUACGGGGCCAAUGUGUAGUGUGGUAUGGUUCUGACUAUGCAAGACCACACGAGGUGAAUCUAGACUAAUGUGUUAUGGUUCUGACUAUGCAAGGAAGUACAAAGAACUGCGUGCCACAUAUAGGGCCAAUGUGUUAUGUUUCUAACCACGCAAGGAAGUGUAAGGAACUGCAUGCUACGUACAGAAGCCACCUCUAGAGUUCGAGUAUGACUAAGUGGAUGUAUGGGGGCCACCUCCAGAGUCUGAGCUUAAAUGUGAAAUCCCAACUUCCGUCCCACAUCGAAAGAAAGGAAAGAAAAGGAAUAGUUUAUAAGCUUAGGUCCAAAGGUUACUAAAUGACUUGGAUUAACCACUUUGGGUUUGUGGAGUGCAGCUAAAAGUUGUUUGGGCCACCCAUUGGGCUCGGGUCAUGACAAUUUUGGCUCUGAAUUCCAAUAACCAGGAAACUUAUAUUCUAGUCCAGUAAAUUCAAAUUCCGGUUUUUAAAAUUGGGAUGAUUUCAGAAACCUCCCCUAAAUUUGUUAACCGUUCACCUCACUUAAUUUAUGCUGAAUAGUACACAACCAUAUAAGAAGAGUAAAAGUUCAAGGUGUAUUUGAAACUAAUGGGAAAGGCAAGGUUGCUAUUGCAUUUUGGAAGCUAGAAGCCAAUAAUUCUUUGUGCUACAGCUUCUAACGGUAAAAAGCAAUAUCACUCUUGCCUAUUCCUCUAUAUAACUGCAAAAUGAAGCUACAACAGAUGAAGCUAAAGGAAAUGCAAAAAAGGAAGUUAUCAAUUGAACUAACUAGAAACAAAUGCAAAUGGCUUCUUCCAAGCAAUGUAGGUGAAUCAUGAAAUUCACUAACUUCAUUAACAAUGUCAUGAAUACCACCAGUCACCAUCCUACAAUUAUAGAGAUUGCAUAAAGGACAACCAUCCUAUUCAAUGUUUAAUAUGGCAUAUGCAGGACAGUGUCCAAGUCUGAAACAAAUCAUAUAAAACCAGCUCAGUCCAACGCCUCCGGUUUCAAAUAGACCAUUUUUAUGAAUAAGCAAGAAUACACAUUACCAUUUAUAGCUAUUAUAACCAGAGAUCAGGAAAAUAUUGUCAUAAUUUAACACCUUUUCUAUUCUAAUGGUCAUCCACUGCCAACAUCCCCUACCUCAACUUUCAUUCCUGAAAAACAUGUUUGUUCCAUGAUAUUGAAACUAGUACUAAUGAACUGAACUGCAAAUACUAGAAUCCACUUUGAUAAAGCCAAAAAACAAAAUACAUCACACAAAACAUACUAUAAAUGCAUUGUUGUCAUUCUUUCCACUUUAUGCACCAGGUAAUUUAAUCACUUGUCCAAUAAAUAUAAAAACAUGAUCAAUGACAACUAUGUUUAACAUCUGCAACCAAAGAAUAAAAUUUUCAAAGAGUUUACAGCAAAAAUUUGUUAGAGACUAACCUUGCUUGAGAUGUUCUUAUUUCCUUGGAUUUUCCACCUUUUUCGUGGUGAGCAAAUCUCCUCUUCAACUCAACUCUAUCUCUACUUUCCUCAAUAUGGCUGAAGAAGCUAUAUUUCUGUUGAUGUAAUUGACCACAGCACACCUUCCAAUGUCACAUCAAUCAGAAAAGGGCGCCAAAAUGGCGUCCUUUUGUAAUAUCAAAAUUAGCAAUUAAUUUUGCAUCCAAAUUAUCAUUAAAUUAGUUAAUCCUUUGUAUUACCGGUUUAACUAAUUAUGUCAACAUAACUUCGAAAUAUAUGAUAAGUUAUGAGGGUGUUUCCAUCAAAAUUAUCACCAUUGAUGCCGCAAUUGGGGCCCAAUAAUCCGAUAGAGGAGAUGACCGAUAUUUUGCAAACCUCUUAAGGGAGGCGAGUGAGACUGUUAGAAACCUCAAGGAAGGUUGAGCCUUGAGGUUUUUGAAAUUAUCCCUUCAAAAUUUUUGCAGGACAAAAUGUUUACUUGAUAUAUGACAUAUUCGAAGGGCAAAGAUGUGGUUCAAACCAUAUACUGCAUCUGAACAUCUUCUACACCUUAUAAAGACAGCUCUUUUUUUUUCCCCCUUGAUUCAGAGUAACUUCUUUGUUUUGGUACGUGAAUUAUCAUUUUGCUGCUGGAAUACCUCUGCUUGCAUGCUUCAAAUUUGAAGAUUUGGAAAUAAGGCAACUGGAUUUGGUCAUUGAAGUAUAUAUCUAGCUUCAAUUACAAACAUGUGUUAUAUUCUGUCUCUGUUGUUCAAGUGCAACUCCAAGCAAAUACAAUUUUAUUUCCAAUUCAGCAUAUAUUCUGAUUUUCAAAGCAUUUAGGCAAUAGAUUCUUUGUUCUGACUGGUUGGUCAGUGGAUGCAUGCACUUAAGAUGAUUCUUCCCUUUAUAUUUGUUGAUUCCUAUCAGGCUAUACAAGAAUUUCUUGUGCAAUGUCAACUCUUCCUUAUUGAACUUAUAAACACUUGAAGCAUAUAGCGGCAACUUGCUAUCAGCCAAUGUUUUCUAUUGGAUUCUUUUGCCCGAUGUCCUCUACUACUAUGUCAUUUGGCCUCAUCAAGCUUUUAAGGUAUAUAACUAUUUUGAGAUUGAGUUCCGACUUUACUGGAACUAGAAAACAUGUUAAAUGGUUGAUCAGUCCUGCCUUGUAAUUUCACAAGAGGUAACAGCCUUUUUUUCAUAAUUUUUUUGGGGAUUAUUUGCAGAUAUAUUACCUGGGUUCUGCCAAAUUACAAACAUACCAUGUGACGUCAACAAAUUAUUACUCAAACCCCUUGAAUAGCCAAAUGUUUAUCAAAUACCCCCCUCACAUUUUAAAAAUGCUACUUGCAUGUAUCAACAAAAUGUUCUUCUAAGAUCCCCAAAUUACCCCUUUAUAAUCUUGGUAAAUUUACAUUUACCUCUCUUAUGGUUUGCUCAAAUUACAUGCAAAAAUGGUACGAUUUAGCCAUUGUAGCCCAACCAUUUGAGUUGCCAACAUAUUGUGAAAGACUCUGCUCCAGUUGGUCAACUUCUGUUGACCUCUUAAAUUGGAUUAGUGUCAACGCAAUAUUACAAUAUUCCCCCAGAAAAGUUGGGCCAGUUGCAAUUUUGUCCUUGAAAGCAAUUAACAGGAGCUUUACCCCUCAAAACAAUUCCGCCAGUUACUGUCGUCAAAGUUUAGCAAGAAAUUGACCAAUAGCCUCGCAUACUCAUAUAUUUUUAUAUUUGCACUUGAAAACUACUAGUGGAUAUCUUUUGGAUAGAAGUCUACAAAUAUCAUAGACGUGCAGUCAAAUUUUUUUCGCCUUUUGUUUCUUCUUUUCUUUAGCUUCUUGUCAAAUUUCUAUUAUAACUGUCUAGUUUUAUUUUUAGAUUUUGAAAACCUGAUCUAUUUUUAGAUUUUUUUUUUUUUAAAAAAAAAAGAAAACUUGAUCUGUUUUUCAUUCUUAACAAUUGGAUUACAGACCACUAAGUUUAUGUUUAUGAGGUAGCUGCAGUAGCCGUCUGAUCGUCCAACGUGAUUUGAAAUAUAAGGACUUUGUAUUAAAUAAAAAUCUUAUUGCAUCAUGCAAUAUAACUAUUAGGAUUAUAAGUUCUAGUUGCAAUUUUUUAACAAAAAGUUGUAGUACUAUUGUUCUUUUUUCAUCAAAAUUACUCUUUAUUAAAAGAAAUAUUCGUUUCUCCGCUAAAGACGCAAAUUAUACAUUCAAAUAAGUGUUUGUAAAGGGUAUGAAAAGAAAAUAAAAGUGGGGAAAAUGAUAUUAGAAGCAAGUUGAAUUGUUAAAAGUUAAACAUGGUCCAAAAGUCGCAGUGAUAAAAGAAAAAUCCUUGACGUCAAAAAUCAGAUCCCUAUGAAGGCAAAAUACCUAUUAACUGUAUUCAGAAGGGAAAGUAAAACUAAAGUGAGAGUUAAACCUUUUCAAAAUCGCCAUUGAUAAGAGCUGGACAUGGACAAUCUAAGUUACCCAUUUGGAUUGUAUUUUCUGAGGAGUUUUUAGAGAAAAAUUACUAUAGUUUUUUUUUUUUUUUGUAUGUGAUAUAUGUGAAAUAAAAAGGUGAUUGAAAUUGUGUAGAAGGAAUAUUCAAGGAAAACAAUAAAAUUUUUCUGUAGAAAAGCACAAUCCAUAUGGGAAUGAAAAAUUCGCAAAUGGGGAAUUUUUCAAGUAUAACAAAUUUUAGUCCUAAAAUUGUAAAAGAUAUGAUGGUGCUUAAACCCAACUUCUCUCACCUCCACCUACAUUCCAUAGUCUAGUUCCAAACAAAAAUAUUGAAGGUUAGUUUGACAAAAAAAAAAGGAAAAAGAUUCACAAAACCAAAUUACUAUUAAACUAUAUAUAUCAUGUACUUUGAAUAAUUGAAUUAUCUUUUUGGUUUAAAAUCAACUUUUAAUAUCAUGUAUUUUUGUAUAUUCAAUCCAAUUUUGGGAUCAAAUGAAACACGUAUGACAUGAUUUCAUACAUAGGCUGUGCAACAUGUCCACUAAUGUUCACCCCGAAAUCGAACGAAAUGAUCAAAAGUAUACUACUUCAAAAGCUGUGCGGUGAUUUGAAGACCACAAUAAUUUAGUGCCAGAAAUACACAAUAUGAAUAAUUAACUUAGUAGUUAUGAAUAAUAGGAAUUAGAGGUUUUGGGUUCUAACUGAAACAGCAAGUCUUUCUAUACGCACUGAACACUUUCACAAAUUUCUCUCACCAUUAAUGUUUUGUUUCUAUUCAAUUCUUGAUGAACUUCUGCCAACAUAUUUCUAUCUCACCAUCCUAGCAGCUCCCUUAUCUUCAUCCGAAAAGUCCAAACUAUACAAGCCGCUUAUGUAUUUAUGGGAAUCUUUUUAAAAUUGCAUUUGGAAUCUAAACUUAUCCUUAUCAUCUAAUACAUAUAUAUAUAUAUAUAUAUAUAUAUAUAUAUAUAUAUAUAUAUAUAUAUAUAUGUGUGUGUGUGCGCGCGCGCGCACGCGCUUUUACGUGCUUGAUUAUACGAAAAGGUUUUUCUGUUGUAUUUGUCAACUUCUUUUUUUGCAGGUAUAUCAAGGUUUCUUUUCGUUUACAGUUUUCUGCAUUUUUUUUUUCUUUUCAAGAUUCUUAGUGAUGGAUUUUUUAAACCGUUUAAAGAUUUGCUUAUCAUUUUGGUUUAUAAGAAAGUUUUACGAGAUUUGUUCGGAGUUUUAUUACUUGAGGAUCAUGUGGUUAUUUAUCAAUUUUUUAUUCUUAGGUUUAGUAGAUUUCAAAAGUUUACAUGAACUUUAAGAUGGAACCGUGGAAUUUUAAUGUUGGUUGUGGCACAUUGUAUCACAGUUUUAUGACAUUUUGAGUUCCUCAAUUGACAAUUCUAAUUAAUCUUUGCCUCACAAUAUGAAUUAUCUUCAAUCAGAUUUUCACAAUAUGUAUUUUUGCAUAGAAUAGUAGUAGGCCUAUAAUCUUUUUUGUUUUUUCAUACUAGCAGGGAAAUGAUGAGAAUUAAGAAGUACGAAGUGGGAAUGAAGAGGUUAAAUUCACGACUUCUAAAUCUUAGUAUCCCAACAUCAGCUAUUAGACCAAGUUUUUCUUGGCCUUGUUAACGGUAUUUGCACGGUAUUUUGGUUGACUUAUCACGUUUCAUCAUUUACUUACCUUUACUUGUUAACGGCAUUUGCACGUAAAUGUGAUUGCAAUCCAUGCGUGGGGCUAGAGGAUUGAAGGCCCCGGAUCUACCCGUACGAAAGAGGCUUCAAGGUGGGGAUCCUGGGCCUUGUAAUUUGAGGCACUUUCCAGUUGACACAAUUUCAUGGUCUGGAAUUAAAGUUGGUUGACAUAUGGUUCAGAUUAAGCUAGCAACCACUUUAAAAGAAUGGUGUUGUUUAGUGAAGCACAAAAAAAAAGUGAAAAAUGAGGAAACAGGCAUAAAUGGCAUUUACAAGAAGGUCCAAUAUUUAACCACUGAGCUUUGGCUCAGUGGCCACCAAAAAGGGACUAAAGUCCCUCUUUGGACUGUAGGUCAGGAAUUUGAAUCUUAUCUGCAGUGAAAAAAAUGCAAAGGAGGCGCCAAAACAUCCCUUUGGUUUAGUAUGUUCUUAUACCUACUAGCUCCCUUAUACACAACUUCUUUAGACUCCCCUUCUCCCUAAAUUAGGAUAGAUUAAGUUAUAUAAAUGUUAUCGUUGCCGUAAAAAAAAAAAAAGGUCCAGUAUUUAGAAAAAAAAAAUUUUUUUAAACCAAAAAGAAAAAACGGAUUCAAAAGAUGCAUUCUUCAACCAGGAAGCACAGCAGCUUGGAAAGGCUUUGAGUAGGAGAGGGGAGAAAUUGAUGAGACGAAGGAAAGGUGCAACGCUAGUGAAACUGAUGAGGUGAAAUUCACAGUUGGGUUACUGGUUUGAAGUAAUCACCUAAAGACACUCCUUUAUUACUAAAAGAUAUGCUUUUGGGUAUCUAUAAAAUUUGAAAUUUGCUCCAUUUUCGUUGAUUUCAAACAUAAUGAGAUAGAAAAUAUAUGUUAUUUUCACAUGUUUGUCAAUGUUAGAUGGAUGGUGAAGGAUGAGAGUAGUGAUAGAGGUAGACAUGAACCCUAAUUUUGAAUUAACUAAUACUGAUUUUAAGACUAGAUUUUCCUAUUCUUAGAUUGGCCUGAAAAUUAUUUUGGGGUUUCAAUUAGUGUUGCAAGAGAAAGUAUUAGAAAUCUUUUUGGUGCAAUUUAUCAGUUUGUGGUGUUAUAGCCGAGGAGUUUUGUUCAUUUAUUGCAUGCAUGAUGUUGGAUGAGAAUUAGGCUGUUUGCAAGAACUUAUUGCUUUGGCUGGGUGAGGUUAGAGAAGAGAAGAAUCUGUUGGUUUUUCGUUUCUUGUUCUUUUUUUCUUGCUGUCUGACUCCUGAGGGGUCACCUGGUUUACUGGUUAGGUAAAGUGUUAAGGGUUGUAGAAACUUUGCUAAGGCUUUGCUUGGGAUAGUCUUUGCACGAAUUAAAAUCACGAAGCAUAAAUGAUUCUUAUUCUUUUUCUUUCAGUCUAUUUUUUGUUUUAUUCUUCCUUGUACAUUCAUAUUUUUGUUCAUAAACCUUGGUUUAGCAUAAAAUUUUUUUAGAAAGCACAUUUGGCUUAAUUGAAAUCUCAAUUUGUAAAUGGAACACAAUUGUCCCUCUGUGCUACUGUUUAACAAUGGAAAACAUUUUUGAUUUGGCAAUGAAUGAAAAGGAAAUAGUGGGGAUUGUGGUUCCAACUUUCCAUUCCAUGGACAGAUUAUAAAGCAAAUCUUAUUUUGUCUUUUCCAUGCACAAAUCUGUUGUAGCAUUUCUUGAAAGAAUGGCAAAUUCGAAACUGCCUCCAACCAGCCUCAAUAACUAUUGGCAAUCUUUUGCAAGCAAUUUGUAUUCCUUUAUUUAGAUUAGCACUUGGAUGAAUUAUAAAUCAAUGAGUCCAAGUUGUGCAUUUUUUUGGGUACAACCCACAAGUAUCCGCCUCCAUUUUACAGUCUACAACUAAUCCUGUUCGAAUUGCGUCAGACCGCUUGCAGGGAGAAACUCUCCCAAUAUUAUUUUUUCCAUUUUCAUGGGUUUCGAACCCAAGAACUCAUGAUUAAGGGAUGCAAGCCCCUUCCGCUUGCACCGACAUCCGUUGGUCAAGUUGUGCAUUUCUAUCUUGGUGCCACUCAUCCCCUUAGUCUUUCCAAUCACUAGCCCCUUCCAGAUGCUCUACAAUUGCGUUUUCAAUGGUGGCACUUCUCUCAAUGCUGCCCGUGUAUCCCUAUCGCCAAACACCUUGUCCAUCCCUCAAUAGUCCACCAAAGGUUACAGGUCUUGGAUCUCCAUUGAUACCUGCACUGAUGUUUAUUUUGCAUUCACAAAUGGCACUUACUCCUGUUUUGACUUCUUGCCUUUAAUUUCAGCUAGACCACAUAAACCGAAAGAUUUACCAGUUAAUGAUUUCACAGUAGUUGAACUGUUAGGUUCAAACUUUCCAUGCAUCCACCCAAUAAAAGCAUUAGCAAUUAAAGUUUUAUGGGUCUAUUUGCAGUAAUUGCUUCCAAAUUCCUCUCCAUUUUAUUGGAGUUAAUAGCUUAUGGUAAGAAGCGUCGCAGAAAUAUUACAUGGAUAAGCAGGUGAAGGAUGAAUUGUGAAGUCAUAUCUCUGUCUGCAGCGGAGCUUUUAUGUAUCACCAUUUGCAAGAAGUUCUCUUACCUUCUGAGAUAACUCACUAAAUCUCUUUUAUUUUAGUUAGUUCUGCUGUUAUCUAUCAUUUGUUUGUUGGUGUACAUAUUCUUCAUUUUUUAUGGGAUUAGAACUCAUGUCCUCCGUUUAUCUAAGAAAUAGAGAAGAAAAAGAAAAAAGGAAAAUAAUUAAACCAAAAACUAUAUAAAACACGAAACUGCUAAAAAAUAAAAUGCAUAAUCUGAUGAAAUCAUAGAAGAAAAAGGAAAAUAGUAACACAAGUGAACUAUUUAAAAAGCAAAACUACUGAAAUAAAUGCAGACUUGAAUGAUAAGAAAAAAUGUAUAAAAUACUAACAAAAACUAUGAUGAUUACUCUAAUUAAAAACUCUAAGAGACUUUUGGGCAGAUUUAUGAAUGGUAAGUGGUUCAUAUCACCAAAUAAUCAAGAAAAAGUAAAAUAGAAACCAAUUUUUAUCCAAUGUCGAUAUCUCUUGCAGAGAUUACAUUUAACACCCUGCCCGGAGGAAAGAAAGGGGGAAAAAUUAAAUAUUCUAAUGGGGCAUUUUUGGUUGAUUAGGAACAAAUUUCUUGCUUGCCUUUUCUAUAAUUAACUGAAAUUUGAUUUCAGCCUAUUAGUCCCUUUAAGCCAUAAAUUAACCUGUUUUUUCUUCGAACUGUAGAAACAAAAUUUGUAGUGAAACAUCAAAAAGUGAUCAUCUUAUCCUGCCUACAUUGCAGCGAGUAGUGACUAAACUCCAAAAAGGCUCCAGCAUGUUCAAGUCUAUAUUGUAAGACUGGUUAUUAGCAAUUUAACAUGGACAGGAUGGCAGAAUGCAUCAUCAAGUUCCUAAACUAUUAUUCUUAAACAUUAGUCAAGAUUAUCAAGUAACUUCUACCAGAAAAUGAAAAGAAUCUAAAAAUUGGGAUAUUAGCUUUUAAAUAUCAAAAGCAAAAUUAAGGAGUUUUAAAGCUACAAAAUGAUCAAUUUGUCCUUGUUAAGGACAUCCCCAAAUGAAGAAAAAUUAUUACAUAUUAAUUUCUUUAAUUUGAAAGAAUAUGCCUCGUCCACUUCUGCUGGCCAUCGCCCUUGAGCGUCAAAUCGUGUUUGGAAUAUCAAUAUAUCUAUCUUUUCAUGCAAUUGUGAGGCAUUAAGAUGAUCACCUUAAUACCAAAUCAAUAUUUGUUGUUAUCUAUAAUGUUCCUAUCCGUCGUGCUAAGUCUUGUCUAAAAGCAUCUUCCAUAAAUAUAUUUCUAAAUUUCUUAGCGAUGUUCCAGGAAUAUGUCCUGUCUAUCGUGUGGAGCUAGCAUCUCAGAUCGUUUGCUACUCUCAAAAUUCAAUUCAUGGCAUAGUUCUACAAGCUACUGGAAUUCCUAUUUCUACAACUUAGGUCAACAUUCAUAUUUGGUAUUUGGAAAAUUGCCCUCACUUGUUGGGUGUAAAAAUUAUUGGUGACAAUGUAUAUUGUGAAAGCUUAUCAAUGUUUAUAGUUUGAGAUGUAUGGUGAAAGAUGCGUGUGGUGAUUGGAAAUAUUUGUUAAGGAAAAAUGGAUUUCACUUUCUCAUACAAUAUUUCUGUGGCAUAUGAAAAUCAUAUAGGUGCAUAAUUAUCAUAGUUUUUUCUUUUUACAACCACUUGUGCACUUGUUGAAUUGUCGAUUAGACAAAUAUGUAAGUAGGCAAUUGCAAGGAGUGUAAUACUAGGCCGUAACAACUUAGACAGGAGGUGUAAUUUUAAAAUAAAAAUUUUGAAUUUCAGUGCAAUAUUUUUUCCUCUCAUUUAAAGGAACACUGAAUAGUUUGAUGUGUCAUAUAAUACCUAUUGAUUAGUUUUAUAACAGAUAUAAGACCAUAUCAUUUAAAAGUGUUAUAAAUGUACGAUAGAAGCUACCUAUCAUUCUAAUUUAUGAUUACAUGGUCUUCAUCUUAUUAGAUUCAUGUUACGCCGCUUGCUGUAUAGUGACAUUAAUUAUUUAAUUAUGGGUAUGAGACCAUUGUAUUUAGACAUAUUAUGUGGGGACCCGUAAAUUUUUCUAAUUUUAUAUUAUUUAUUUUAUUUCCUCGCCUGCAUUUUUCUUCAUUAUACCCUACUAUUUCUAUUUUUCCAGAGAUUUUAUAAGUGAAUAGAGUUUUUAAAUCAUUUUCUUAGUUUAAAUUAGUUCAUGAUAAGUUUGAAGUGUAUUAUUGACGUGGGACCCGCUAGUGCGGUAAAUGCGAUAUAUUUUUGACAACUUGUUGGAGUUUUGUAUCAAGUGAUAUUAUUUUACAAGGUGUUAGGAUACAAUUAGAGGUUAAUUAGAUAUAUUACUAUUGGUAGACAAAAGGAUAGAAUUGAAACCCUAAAGGGCCACUUGUCACCAAACUAUUGGAACUUGGACUUUGACCUAACUUUCUUACCUUUACUAAAUACCAAAAAUUUUGACCAAAAAUAUCCCAUUUUUUCAUGAAGCUUGGCCAAACCUUUGAGGAGAGAAAAGAGAGGAAAACUUCAUCUUGUUUCUUCAAAUCCAAACCCAAAUCUUGAGUUCCAACCAUUAACAUCUCAAAUCACUCUAUAAAAACUCCUUGCUAGGAAGGAUUAAAGAGGUUGGUGGAGUUGUUUUGGAAAGGGAAGACCUAAAUUGCUAGCUUUCUUGAGUUUUUGAGGUGAGUUGCUAAGAAAUUCUUCCUUUGUUCUUGAUAAUAUUAAAUUAGUGGUUUUAGUGGCUAAAUAUGUUGAUUUGUGGUAGGUUUUAUGGUUGAAAGUGGAGUUUUGAUGGAUUUUUGAUUUAUUAGUGAUUUUUCUGUUUUUAUAUAGUAAUUAUUAUUUAGUCAUGGAUUGAUGGCUUGUUAUAACAUAAAAUGGAGUUUGUAUAUAUUGGAUAUGAUUGGUUACGGAAAAUUUCUGGUUUGGUGCGGAUAUUUCAGUUUAGGGUUUCAUCUUACCCUGUUCUGCUCGGUUCUGUUCGGUCAUGAUGGAGGCCGAAUCAGCCUUAGAUUAAAACAUGAAAGUUGUAGGAAAUGAUGUUUUAUAGCUGUCUGUAAAUUUUCAACUCAAUCCGAGCACUGUAACAUGUAAAAAGACAAAAAUACCCCUGACUGCCAUAGGUAGAGCUCUGUGGACAGUGUUGACAUUUCACCCAAUCUGACGGCAUCUGUUCACCUUGAUCCGUACUGAAUUAGCAUCUGGCCGAAACACGAAAGUUGUAGUGCUAUGUCUUAACUUUCCAACAGCCCUAAAAACGUCUCAAUCGGACUUCAGUAGCUUGAGCUAUUGUCGUUUACACAUUGUGCGGUUAACUAGCCUGAUUGUGAGACUCUGAUUCUAUAAUUUGAAAUUUUGAUCUAGUUACACUACGAACUGGACUGAGUGUCUUCAUCAAAAUUGUAGCCCUUUAUUUUAGCUUCGAAACGGAAUAAAUUGCACACCAAUUCGAUAAGCGUAGCUUCUGUUGUGUCCGAUACGCUAAGCGACGUCAAAUCUAUCUUUUGUUUUAUGGCUUAAACUUCAUUUCCGGACAUUUCCUAACUUGAUUUUGUACUUGUAUGACAUUGAGCCUAUUGAACGGCUAUUGAAAUGAGAUUAUUUUGUGUGUGACAUUGGGGCUGAUUUGAGGAAAAAUUAAGCCAUGAUGGCUAGAAAAGUAAGCAAAUUUAGGGGAGAUGCUAUCCAAUUUUCUAGGCCAUUUGGUUCCUUUAAGUUUGAGUUGCCUUUUGGUAGAGAUGAAGGGCUUUUGGGUCAUUCAAGCCCUAGGUCCUCUUGUUACCUUUUCGUUUCAAAAUCACGCUUUUGCACCUUUGCAUUUGUGGUUCGUUUGGUUAGGCACACGACUCAUAGUUGAGUUUUAUUUAUGAAUGUCAUUUCCAUAGGAACCAUAAUUGUUUUACUUUGCUCAUUUUAGGACGUGCUGGUGAUCCAGGAAGUACUUCGGGGGGGAACGUUUGAAUUUGUUUUACUUGAACUGGUAAAUGUAUCACUCCCCUCACUUGUUGUUUAACUUGGUUUCUGUACAUACAAUCUGUGAUAUGAAUGACUGUACUAUCUGUUUAUUCUAUUUGAGACGAAUGUGUACUUUAUCACACUCGUUCUCUUGUCUGUUCGUAUGCCAAUUUACUAUGUGAAUUUGAAUCUGUUAUCUAUAUCUGUAUCUGUUCUGACGUCGUUUGGAAGAUUGUAUCCAACGACCUUUCUGUGACCUCUGAGCUCAAAUCCUGUGGCUAAGUUACUUAAGUCGAGCCGGCAAGGGUUUGGUCGAUUAGAUAACGAACCACAGUAUUCUGUUCUAGGAAUCAUUGGAUAUUGAGACCCUUGAUUCCGAUAUACUCGAGUAUUACCACUUCUGUUUCUGUUGAGGUGUUCGGGUCCGGUAAAGAGUAUGUGUGGUGAACGGGAUUUUAGUGUAAAGUGGUGUUCUACUGGACUGGACUGGUUACUUUAUUUGAAAAGUUGACGGAGUGUCAACUAAUAUUUGAUCAAGAUUCGGUGAAGCAAAUGGGAAUUUGACACCUGAGAGUCACCCGUAUCCUUUCUAUCUAUGGUGUUUGUUCAUUUCUUUAUUUGAUUUGUAUAUGUGACUAAUUGAAUAUGAAAUUCCAUAACUCUUACUUGCUAUUAUUUUAGUACCUCAUUGAGCAUAAGUUCACCCCUUCCCAUUACUUUUGUUUUCCUUUCAGGGGCAAACUUUGAAUCCAUGAUCUUGGAAGAAAAGGUCGAGCUAGCGUAAUUAGUGUUUUGUUAAGUUCUUUUGCAACCGAAACCCGAAUCAUAUUUUUAAGUGUAUGAAUACUUUGGCUUGUACUUUAGGUUAGUUAAUUUGUUAAAGACUCCGAUGUAAAUAUAUGUAUAAGUGUUUAACCUUGUCUAUGAAGUGUAUUCAUUUGAGAUUAUGAUUUUAUGGUUUGGUAAGCAUGUUCUCACCUUAGUAGUCUCCAAUUGUUCAUUUUCUUUGGGUCUUAUCGCGCGUGGUACAGGGAUUUAUGUGAUUUGACUCCAUAGUCCUGGCGAGAGUUGGGCAGGCAGUCCGCCGAACCCUUUGGUUUGCCUUAGGGUGAAGUGGGGCUGACUCAUAUUACAAUAAGUCCAAUCAAGAUUACUUAUCAUCCUGAACGAUUAUGAUAAUAUAUUUUCAUUUGUUGAAAGUUAUACGAUUAGUCUUCAAAGUUACACCGUAAUAUAGAAAAGUUACACUGACAAAGUUACACCGACAAAGUGAAAGUUGAUAUAUAUAGACAAAUAAUUGUGUUUGGAUUGUAAAUUAUUUGAGAUAAUUUUGUGAAAAAAAUACUAUAGCACUUUUUUGAUAUAAUGUAUGUGAAAUAAAAAGAUGAUUGAAAAAUGUGUUGAUGAUGCAAAUACAUCAAUAUGUGUAAAUAAGGUAUAAAUAAGGUGAAAUAAUUAACAAUCCAAACACACUUGAUGUACAAUUAUCUUUUUGUCGAUGUAACACUUUUUCCUCGUUUAAAGAUACAUUGUUUAGUUCUAUAAGGGAUGUAAGAUCAUAUCAUUUAAAGGUAUCACAAAUAUACUAUAACGACUACCUAUCAUACAUAGUGAUGAUAACUUAAUCUUUAGGGAAAAAUAAUUGGCCCUCCAACUAUUAACUAAUAAGUUUUAACCCUCAAACUAAUUAAAACACAUAAUCCUAAUCCUUAAUUUGAGUCAUUAUUUUUAAUAGAAAUAGCACAACAUGUGCCUUCGCGGCCCUUAAAUUAUUACAAAACUCACUUUUUGGUCAUCCAACUAUUAACUGAUAAGUUGUAAUCCUUCAACUAAUUAAAACAUAUAAUUCUAGUCAUUUCAUUAAUUUGAGUCAUUAUGUCAAAUAGAAACAUUACUAUGUGCAUGAUAGGAGGCAUAUUGAAAUGUCCCUAUUUUUGUGUCUAAAUCUAAAAAAUAUACAACACAUUAGUGUCACAAUUAAGACACAAACAAUGGUUAUGAAACAAUAUAUCACUAUUUUAAUCCUACCAGAUGCAUGAAUCUAAUGAACAUGUCCUAUGAAGAUAAAAAUGCCCCUUGAUUAUGCUUCCACCGUACAUGUAGAGAUUUUUCUUUCUAUUCGACAUAAUAACUCAAGUUGAAGGAAUGGUUAGAAUUAUACUUUUUAAUUAAUUGAUGGGUUAAAACUUAUCAGUUAAUAGUUAGAUGACCAAAAGUUGAAUUUUGUAAUAAUUUGAGGACCAUUAGGGAAUCAUGAAUCCUAUAACUCAAGUUGACAUAACGACUCAAGUUGACGGAAAAAGUAAAAUUAUACAUUUUAAUUAAUUGGAGGGCUAAAACUUAUUAGUUAACAGUUGGAGGGACAAAAGUUGAACUUUGUAAUAGUUUGAGACCCACUGGAGAAUGUUGCCCUAAUCUUUAUCUCAGUAGGAUAAAUUUACAUCAUUUACUAUAUAGGCAUGUUAAUUGUUUAAUUACUGAUGUAAGAUCAUUCUUGUAAAUGUAUUAACAUAGGUCCAAUCAAAACUGCUAGUUAUUCUAAAUAAUAACAAUAUUGCAUCUUUACCUUCUUUAAAGUUACGCAACUAGUCUUUAUAGUAUACCGUAAUACUAGAAAAUCAUAUUGAUAAUAUGUACAUUGACAAGCAUAGCAUAAGAGAUAGAUAUUCAUUCACAUGAUCAAAGAUACAUCUCUCAUCGAUAUAAGAUUAUCAUCCCUUUUAAAGGUUCGUUGAGAAGUUUUACAAGAGAUGUAAGAUCAUCUCAUUUAAAGGUAUGACAAACGUACAAUGAACACUAUCCAACGUCUUAUUUGAUGAUGGCAUAAUCUUUAUUUUAUUAGACUAAAGUUAUGCCACUUCUUGCAGAUAAACAUUAAAUGUUUAAUUAUUGGUAUGAAACCAUUGCAUUUAAUUAUAUUAGCAUAUAUGCAAUCAAACUUAUCUAUCAUUCCGAACGAUAACGAUAAUGCAUUUUAAUUUUUAGAAAGUUACCAUUUUAAUUUUCACGGUUAUAUCUUAACACUAUAAAGUUACACCAACAAAGUAUAAGUUGCCUACCUAGAGAAAGAGAUACAUAUGCAUUGACAUGAUUAAAUGCAUGUGACCAAUAAUGGAAUUAUUUUUCCGUCAACAUAAGAUUAUCGUUCUCUUAAAAGGUAUAUCAAAUAGUUUUACGAGAGACAUAAGACCGUCUCAUCUAAAGGUAGUAAAACAUAUGACGAGCGCUACCUAUCUUGCAACUUGAUGAUGACAUAAUUUUCAUCUUAUUAAAUCAAAAUUACACCAUUUGAUAUAAAGGUACAUAAAAUGUUUAAUUAAGGCCAUAAGAUCAUCGUAUUUAAAUGUAUCGGCAUAGGUUCCAUUAAUUCUAUCUACAACGAUAAUGUAUUCUUAUCUUUUAUAAAGUUAUACCUUUAGUCUUCCUAAUUGUACCUUAAUAUUACGGAGUUAAACCUUAAUACUAUGAAAUUACACCUUAAUUCUAUGAAAUCACACUAAUAAAAUUAAGUUGCAUUGACAUUAUUUACUACAUGUGAUCAACAAUGAAAUUAUUUUCUUGUUGAUAUAAGAUUAUCCUCAUAUUUAAAGGUACAUUGAAUAGUUUUAUGAGAGUUAUACGAUCGUCUCAUUUAGAGGUAUUAUAGGUGUACAAUGAACACUAUGUAUCAUUGCACUUAAUGAUAACAUAAUCUUCACCUAGUCAAUCUGAAGUUACACUACUUAAUAUAAAAGCACAUUAAAUAUUUAAUUAUGUGUGUAAUACCAUUGCAUUUAAAUGUAUUAAUAUAGAUGCAAUCAAAAUGUUUUGUUACUUACAAUUUUCGGCUUUGAACCUCAAGAGUCUUGCCUUGUUUUCUUCAAAAUUCUUGACUAUAAUCUAUCUAUUUAUGCUCCAUAUUUUGCUUAAGACAUUAUCUUAUCAUACACGUGGGUUUUUCCCUGUAUUUGAACAAGAAAAUGGUGCAAUUUUGAAAGUUAUAUUGGGAUAAAAUCGACAAAUUGAUGUGUCUUCUAAGUGAAGUUUUGAAACUCUAAGUUUCUUAUUUCUGUUCGCUUUGAUUUGCUAAACUCUUGAUGUGACGGCUCCACCUUCCCCUAAGGCGUACCCCAGGGUUUGGCGGGUCGCCUGCCCAUUUCUCGCCAGGACUCACUUACUUAUAACUCAAGAAAAAUAACAUACAUCCAAAAAUAAAUAAAUAACACAUCUACUUCAACUUAAUACAUAUAUUAAUGCUCAAAUCCAGAUACAAAACUUCUACACGUCAAGAUACUUUCAAGUGGUUACAAUUCAAGUACAAAGAACCCUUGUCGGGUGCUAGCGCGAGUACAAUUCCAAAAUUCAAAACAACUAGAUUAUGCUAAUCUGUACACGUCUCAUGCCUCGCUCGUACUCCCUAUAAGGAAAAUAAAUGGAGUGGAAUGAGCUAAAAAUCCAGUGAGGUUCCAAAUAACAAGUUGACCAUUAUUUAAAGGUACGCGUAUCAACGUAGCAAAAGAUAGCGAGCAUAACAAGUUCAUAAAAGUGAACACUAACACUUCAAGUAGCAAAUUUCCAAUGAACGAGUAUAAAGUGCUUUUGGUUUUCAAAAGAAUAAUAAUCCAAUAAGCAAUAAUCAUUUCCAAGUAUAAGGAUACAGAUGACUCUCAGGAGCCAAGUUCCCAUUGCUUCACCAAAGCUUGAUCAAAUAUUAGUUGAUACUCCGUCAAUUUUCAAGUAAAGUAACCAAUCCAGUAGAGAACCACUUAACUCCAAUCUCCGUCCACCAACCAAACCCCUUACUGGACCCGAACUCCAAGAUAACAUUGGUGGUAAUACUCGAGUAUACCGAUUAGUCGAGGAGAUAACACUCCGCUCGACAUCACUAACUAUCCAUGGUUCAUUAUCUAAUCGACCAAACCCUUGCCGGCUCGACUUGAUUAACUAGCCAGUAGAAUUUGGAUCCCCUAGAAUUCGAUGAGACAACCUCUCCAAUCGACUGAAUCAAGAUAAAAGUACGGAGACGGGAAUGAGAGGUACCUCCCACUCGGAUCGAGUGUGGUACAUACUGCUGCUCAGUACUUACAAGUCACGCACGAAUAUCUCAAAUCAAUUGCAACAAUAAACAAGUACAUAUCACAUUAGGGCAAGUGCAAUAAAGUACACCCUUACCCGAUCAUACCAAUCACAUAUCAUUCAAUCAUAUUGGUCAAGUAUUGAAAACCAGUGUCCAGUUCAAUCAGGUAUUUGGAAGCACUCACCAAAAAUCUAGUACCUCUCAAAAAUCACGUUCCGGUCCAACUCCUUGGUUGGAGUCCAAAUCUGCAAGAAAAUAUCAUUUACGAAUGUAAACCUUUCUAGAGUUUGAAACAUAAGAGUUUCACUUCAAGAAAAUUAAGUAAAUGUAACUUGUUAUGUAGUAUUCAAGAUACUUUUAAAUCUCGAAAAAUUCAUACUCGCUCUUAAACCUUUGAAACUUUGAAGCAAUUAUACUUUGAAAUACCAUUUGAGUCGAAGAAAGGGAGAAAACGUAUUUCUAUUAGUCGUAAUUUUCAUUUUUCCAAGGGUACAAGUUUCGACCGAAUUCUAACUCAUAUCCUCGAUAAAAGAAGAUGUAAAUACCCUAGAUAGUUCAAGUGGUAUUCACUCUCAAGCCUUACUCAAGUCGCAAGUAGAUCUACCUAACCCUCGAGCGUAAAUUUGGGCAGUACGCCCUUUUAUAUAUACCUAUUUCCCAGUCAUUUAUGGAUUCAUUCAUUUCCUCAAUCAGUCCCAAAGUCACACACAAAAUAAUAUCAUUUCAAUAGCCGUUCAAUAGGUUCAAAGUCAUACAAGUACAAAAUAAAGUUAGGAAAAUAUCUGGAAAUGAAGUUUAAGUCCUAAAGCAAAAGACAGAUUUGACGUUGUUUUGCGUAACGGACACAACUGAGGCUAUGCUUAUCAGAUUGGGGUGAAAUUUAUACUGUUUCGAAGCUAAGAGAAAGGGCUACAACUUUGAUGAAGACCACUCAGUCCAGUUCAUAGUGUAACUGGGUCAAAAUUUCAAUGUACAAAACCAGAAUCUCACAAACAGGUUAGCUAACCGCACUAUGGUUAAAUGACAAUAACUAAAGCUACCGAAGUCUGAUUGAGGCAUUUUUAGGGGCGUUGAAAAGCUAAGACAUAGCACUACAACUUCUUUGUUUUGCCCAAAUGCUAAUUCAUUACGGGUCAGGGUGAACAGAUGCGGUCAAGUUGGUGAAAUGUCAAAACUGUCCCUUAAGUUCUACCUAUGGCAGUCAAGGGUAUUUUUGUCUUUUCACAUGAUACAGUACUCGGAUUGAGCUGAAAUUUUACUAGUAGCUAUAAAACAUCAUUACCUACAACUUUUAUGUUUUAUGCUAAGCCUAAUUUAGCCUCCAACCUAGUCAAACAGAACUGGUCAGAACAGGGGAGGUGAAAAACUGAAAUCUAGAAUUUGAGGUUUCAAAGGAAAAUCUCUUCAUUUCUUGCUUAAAUCACUACCACAACCUCUUAUACAAGAUUAUAAUCAUCAUAUACCAUCUACCCAACAAGAAAUACAGUUGAAAACCUCAACCCUAACUCAAGAACAUGCACCAUAUCCAUCCAAACCAUUGAAAUAACUAUCAUUAACCAAAGAUUUGAGGUGCUAUACCAACUUAAACAAGAUUAAAAGUAAGAAAAUGGUAAACCAGCAUUAUUACCUUACUAAAGCUUCUUUCAAGAGUAACCCUAGCUUUCCCUUCCAAACUUUUACCAACCCACAACCACCUAAGUACUCAAAGGAAGUUUUAAUCGGUUUAGAAUCUUGUUUUUCUCACUCAAUCAAGCAAAACCCAAGAUGGAUUGAAAUGGUUUCCUCUCUUCUUUUUCCUCUCACUCUCACGGCUGGAAGACUGUAAAUGAGAGCUCAAAUGAAGCUUCAAGAAGGUUAAAAUGAUAGAAAUGAAUUUGGGUCAAAGGUGACAAGUGUCACACUUUGAUUGGUAGUCAAAUUUUGUUCUUUUCUCUCUUAUUUUUGGCCCAAUAUUUCGGCUGCCUUGAGGAUAUUUUGGGGCUGAUAUUAAUCAAUUAAUAGCAAGGAGAUUAAGGUAAUAAAGUAGUGUUCAAGUGGUGCACUCACUCGGUAACAAACGGUACCCAUCAGUUCAACCCGUUUUUUCUUAAAUCGCAUAUACUAGGGUUUUAACUUAUAAUUCACUAACUUAUUAUUAUCACUUCUAAUCACACACUUAAUAUCAUCUAAAAUUCACUCUUAAUCACCAAAUUUGAUCCACUCUCCGUACCGGAUAGUCACACAAGGGAUAGGCGUAAAAAUCUUAGUUUACCCUAACGAUAAGUUGCUUCCAUAAGUAACAUUAAAGUAAGAAAGUAAAAAAGAUAAGUUGCUUCCAUAAGUAACAUUAAAAUUCACACUACAAGUUCCGAAAUAUAACAAUUGUCCCAUUCUUACAUUUGAUCCAAAAGGUAUCUGAAUUCCCAAAGUACAAAAUAGCCAAGCAAUCUAGUGAAUUACAUUUGGAAUAUAAUACAGAAGUACUUCAAAAGGGGUUCCAUCAAGUUCCACUCCAUCCAUCCCUAUUAAGGAAAACAAAUCUACGGGAUGAGCAAAACGCUCGUGAGGCCAAGAACACACAUGCAAGUACAUAGUCCAAGUAGCAGACCCAAAUAAUAGGUCAAAUGAUAAAGUGCGAGUAGUUAACAAUUUCAAUGAAAUGUAACCAAAAACAAUUCAAGGAUAUGGUAGUUCUCAGGAGCUAAGUUCCACUUGCUUUGUCAAUGUCAUCCGUAUACCAUCCCGCGAUGACUCUCCGUCAACCGGGUCGGUAUUUCCAAUCCGUAGACCUCCACUUACUUCUCAGGUCCGUCCACCGUACAUACCACACCGGACCUGCACGACAUUUAUAAGACGAUACUCAAUGAGUAUGCCAAGCAAGAUCUCUCCAAUAGAUCAAACUUAUCAUGUGAUUCUCAUGGCUCACCGAGGUUCCCGACCAAACCCAUGUCGGCUCGAGUCCCAAGGUCGGCCUAUGAGUUUGGGUGUCCCUCAUGUACAUUUGAGUGUCGAGGAGGUUCACUCCAACGACGUAUGCAGCCAUAGCAUACUUAUUUCAUGUAAUUCAAGCAUUUGAUACAUUCAAGCAUUUGAACUUUCGAGCAUUUGGCAUAUUAAAACAUUUCAAGUAUGAGUAAUUCAAUUCAAAUUAGAACGAGUGCGAUAAAGUACAUACUCGACUCCAUUUUUCCAAAAUCUCAAGUCCUCAAUAGUAAACAAGCAUGUACAAAGUUCACAGGAGUUCAAGUAGUCACACACAUGACACUCAUCAAGUAAAACAAGAAGGAAUGGCACUCGAAGUUCAAGCGCCCACCGUGGGAUCCUCUUGAAGUUCUUCUUGUGUGCCUGACCAAUUAAUAAUGGACUAUUACUUAUAAACCCCAAACGAUGAGGAAGAUCGUACACUAAUACAAUCUAGAAAAUAUCUCAAAAAUCGAGUCUAGGUUUUCUUUUGAAAAAUCGAGACUCAAGAGAGUUACAAGACUCGAGUAAAAACGGAUCAUUAUCCUUAAGAUCAUUGGAAGGGAACAAGUACGAGCAAAUAGAUCUCAAAACGAACGACGGAAGUCUGAAAAGGGCAGGUGACGUCACAAUCCAGCCGGAUUCCUGGCCGGAUUGGAGGCAGAGACCAACCUCCAAUUUUUUUCAAACUCCAACACCAAUCCGGCCGACUAUUCUGCCAAGAAUUGGCCGGAUUCAAGGCCGGAUUCUGGUGAACAGUUUCCAGCGCAGAUUGCCUUCAAAUGGUCACAAUUUUUUAUUUUUGAUGAAAUCUUUGAAAAAUCAUAACUCACUCCCUGGUUGUCCAAAAUUGGAAAAUUUGGUACCGUUGAAAACAUUUUUCAAAAUACUAAAAGUUUCUAAAAGAACCUUUCCAUGAAUCCAAGUGGAAGGCAUUCAAAUUUUGGCUUGAAGUUGAUAACUAGAGUUAUCAAGAUAGAUUUAAGUUGGUUUUUGGCCAAUUUUGAAAAUUCAGCAAAAUUCACUCAAUUUGAACUAGCCUUUGAAAUUUGAUACUCUACUAGAGUUACAAUCCAAGUUUAAAACAAAAUAAGCGGAACAAGAAUUGAAGUUUUGAACACCAAGAUAUGAUAGUUCAAAGUUAUCCAAAUUUCCUUGUUAAAUAAGGGUUUUCCAAAAUUAAGUCAUGAACUUUGGAAGUUUAGUUGAGAAAUGCAACGGCCUCGGAAUAGCACCAAAAUUAGCAGUAUAAUAUUACCAUAUAAGGACUAUUUCUCUGCCAAAUUUCAUUGAUAAAUAAGCACGGAAAGUUGGUUAACUAAAACACCCAAGUUUCUAAAAUUUCAAGGCAAAACUGCCUUGUGUACAAAAUGUCCUUUAUCUAAGCUUUUGGCCACAUGAAAUCCUUGCAAACAUGGUACAUUUUAGUAGACAAUGUUUAUUAAACAUCCAAGAUAUGUUUGAUGGUGAUUAACACCAAGAAUCUCGAAUUAACAAGUCUCAAUCGAAUUUAGUAACAAUUCUGCCCAAAAGGAGAGUUUUCCUUCAAGAAGUCAGUUUCAAAAUAUGGUCACAAAUCACUCAAUUCAACUGAGAAUUGGGUGUGGUUGGUGGCGUUGGAAAACACUUUCAUUAAUCUACAAUUUCUCAGAAGAAACCAUUUUCAAAAUCCAUCCACAACUAGCUCACAUUUGAGCAUCAAGUUGUAGUUCAUGUUCUGCCCUGUAGUGAACCAAUAAAACAGGACAGCAAUUUUUAAACGAAUGGUUUGGCUUACAUAAGUGGAACCCGAAUGUACAUUUUAUACCAAUAGAAAGCUGAGAAUGUCUAGUUUCCAGUGCCAUAAACGACACUCGAUUUUGACAUCGGAGCAAAAAGUUAUGACUGAAACAAGAUGACUGCCUGGGCAGUUACGGGAACCAUUUUCCUGUUUUCUAAGCUUUCGAAAUCAACACAUUUGGAUGAUCAAAUCAUGUUAUUUUUCAAUGAAACUUUUCACACACUCAAUAUAACACAUAUACAUCACAAAAAACCCAUUAGAAACUCAAAAUUUUGCAUCAAAGGUCACGAACAUGGCAGGGGUAAAAUAGUCACUUUUGCUCAAUGCACCAUCCUUGAGUUUUUAUCAACAACCCAACAUUAUACCACUAAUAAGCACUAAACCAACAUUAAUUUCAUCAUCAAUCACCAAGUCAGUCCAUCCAACCAAAGUGGGAGUUUAUAGAGCCCACACAACAAUUUUUUAACAUAAACAAGCUACCAAUAUGCAUGCAUGAGUUUAAAUGAGCUCUACUACUUCCAUAAAUCAAGUUUCCAAGGUUUGAUCGUUGCUUACUUGUUUAGAUGAACCAAGCAGAAAUUUCGGUCCUCUUACAGCUCACAAAAACCGUGGAAAUGAAGUCCUUUUUCUAGUUUAAGAUGCUCUCCAAGUGAUUAGCAAAAUGUGGUUGAAGUUUGAGGUGAUUUGGUGAUGAUUUAGUGAAGAAAUAAAGAAGAAUUUGAAGCUGUUUUUCCUUCCUUGUUGUUCGGCUGUUUGAGUGAAGGAAUAGAAGAGAUGUUGCUGAUGGUAAGCUUCCGUGAGAAGCUUUAAAAUUUGUGGCUAAAAGUUGCUUCAAAAGUCAACUCUCCCUCGCGCGCACGCGCUCGUUUUGUGCUCGAUUCCUCUUGCAUUUGUUUCACUAGUGCACUAAACCUCUAAUGCACUUCCAUUCAUAUUAUUAUUAUCCACUCUUAUGGGUCUAAAAAUAAUGAUCUGAAGUCCCUCAAUUAAUCACGCGCGUAAAAACGCAUAUUUCCAAUUUAAGUGCAAUAAAGUGAAAUCUCCAAGAAAUUCUUAUAACAAUAGUACCACUAACUAUCACUUGAAUACUUAAGCAUAAAAACACCUAUUUUAAGACCAUUGUGCAAGCCUCUAAUUUUCCAAGCUUAUUGUAUUCUCGAAUCAAUUAUUGACUCCAAUCGAGUAUUCACCAUUUUCACUUAACAAGCUUCCAAAAAUUAAAUUUUGAAACAAGUCACUUUAAAAAUAUAACUAAGCUAUAAUUCCAUAUAAUUAGGUCUAAAAAGGUUAGAAAAUAAUAUUCAAGGCAAUUGCCCAAAUAAAUAAUUAAAUGAGCUUGAAUUAGGAGUUUAAAAUAGAUGAAUUUUGUGAGUCUUCACAUGAGUCUUGUAUUACUUCCUCAAAUCUCUAAUAAAUUUGUAUCAGCGUGUCUUUUGAAAAAUUAUCGACGCGCAAGCGGUAUACACUUACUUAAAACUCAUUCACCUUUAAUUCAUCAAUUAACUCUUUAUCUACUAUUGAUCAUUCUUAAUUCCCCAAGAUAAAUGCACUCUCGAAUAGAAUAUCACCUUGAAACACAUGUACUCAUUAUUCCUCACUUAAAUGAACCUCCGAAAAUUAAAUUUGCUAAUGGGACGUUUUAAAAACAUAAGGAAGACAUUGUUCCAUAUGAAUGGACUUAGAAUGGUUGAAAUAAAUUAUUUGGAGAAAUAGGUGAAUAAAUAUUUAAAUAAACCAAUAAUACUCGAUAAAAAUAAGAAAUUUUUUUUUCGGGUUCUCACAUAAUAUAUGAUAUCCAAGGAUGCCCAGCCAUUAGAAUUGUUGAUAAUCAUAAUAAUCAUCUGAUUACCAAUAAAUAGUUCAAUAAUUAAUGAUCAUUAUGAAUGACUAAACUACAUCUUAAUUUUUUUUGCUUAAAAGGAUCUACUUAAAUUAAGUUCCUUUUCUGAAUAAUAGAUAUAGAGGUUCUUCCUUACACAGAAUUCAAUUAUUGGCAAUCUGGGAAUUUUUCUGUUUCACCAAAACAGUAGGAAGCGGCAAGAUACAUUUGUCGGUGGUGUAGUGUCAGACUAUCAUUUAAUCAUUUACUCCUAAUUAUAGAAUAUUGGUUGGUCCCACAUUAAAGACGUGAUUUAUAAACAACGCCUUCAUAUACACCCUUACGGCAGUUCGUUGAGUUCGGUUGCGUGAACUCCUGGCCAAGCGAGGCAAUCUCCGAACGUCAUGCAAGGACGGUUUCUCGGGCCGGGUUCGCCCUCUUGCCUCCUGUAUUCUUGCCCGAAUGUGGGCUUUAUGACUCGGGAAGUAAUUGAUAAUCAUGUAUCCAAAUUUUGUUCAAAAAAAUUUCAAGGCAUUUUAUCCUCUUUCCUCUACGCGGACAUGCAUAAUCUUGCGUUUCCACGGCAAAUAAUAAUAAUAAUAAUUUUGGUAAUCAUAACUGCCAAAUUCAAAGAAAGCUUGCUUUUGUAUGUUUAUUUUCAAUAAUGUUUUGCAAAUCUAUGUAAAAAUUAUUGUGUUGUAAAAUAGGAAUAUUCGUGUGUUCAUUUUAGACUUCUACUUUUUUGUAAUUUUAAGAAGUAUACUAAUUUUAGGUAAAAUUUUGAUGUACUAUUAGUGUAUACACAAGCAAGUAUAAAAUAUAUAUAUCACAUAAUGUAAAUUCAAAUUUGAAAUUCACUAUUUGCAUAGAUGAUAUACUUUUAUGCCUAUAUGUAUAUAUAAACACACACACACACACACACACACACAUAUAUAUAUAUAUAUGUAUGUAUGUAUAUUAUAUAUUGUAAGUGAGAGGAUCGGAACUCAUAACCUCAUAUUUACAACUCUUCCCAUUUUACCAUCCAAUCUAACUCUUCUAAAUUAUAUAUAUAUAUAUAUAUAUAUAUAUAUCGAUCCUCCAUACAUACGUUCUUUAGUACUUGUGAUUAUUAAUUAUCUCAUUUUAGAUUGAUGAAUUUAUCAAUGACAUUUUUGUUUAAAAAACGUAAUGACAUCAAAUAGGCACAAUGAUCUACACGACAGAAUUGUAUGUAAUAGGCAAUGAUUUUGGAAAUUCAUUUCCAUUACAAGAGACAUAUUGGGGAUUAUAGUUUGUAAUGUGUCAACUAGUCAUAAGCACUUGUCAUCCCCUGUGGGAAGAGAAACAUGUAGUUCACCUAUUCACAAGUGCAAAGAAUAUUUCCUUUAGCAAUUUGAUUCUAACGUAAUUUUUGUAGAACAUGCAAACUCAACAGACAUGGUGUAGGUGUGAACACAUCUGAUUUUGAAAAAAAAAUAUUGCAAUAUGGAACCCAAUUUUGAAUUGGGUCAAUCACAAUCCCAUCUAGCACAUAGUAUCUUGGGAUACAUUUGGAACACUUUAAGAUUUCUAACAAUUUCACUUAGUGCUCCUGAAUUUUGAAAAAUAUCACUUUCCUCCCAUAUUUUUUUUAUUUUUGAUAACACUAUCAACCCAUUUCAAAAUAAAUUAUUAAAAAAGGGAUUAUUAUCAUUUUACCCCCUAACCUUUAUAGCUAUUAUCACUAUACCCUAUAAUAUUAUCUUUUAAUCAGUUUACCCCCAAGACUAACAGUCAAAGCAAACAGCGUUACAUAAUUUAGAUGAAAUGACAUAUGUAGCCCAAAAUAAUAGUUGAUGACAAAAAUGCCCAUUUUGUUCCAAAAUUGCAAUGGGCAGGAAAAAAUGCACGUUAUGUAGGAAAAUUAAAAAAAGGAAAAAAAAAGGGAAAAAGAAAGAGUUAUUGCUUAGGAGGGAACUUAGGAGGGUUCCCUCAUUGAAGUGAAAUUCUUAUUUCAUUCUCUUUUAACGAAGAAAAGAAAUUUUUACAGUGUUUAAACCCCUAAAUUUCUUUAACCUUACAUCUCUGCUCUUUGACGAUCAAAGGAUCAAGUGAUCAACAAAUCCAAAGAAAGAUCGAAAGACUUUGUAGCAGGAGUUGAGAAUUGUUGGUGUGAAAGAAAAAUAAAACAAGGUACAUCUCAAAAUACCCAAAAUGUAAUGUAAUAUGUCUUCUGCAUGUUGAUCCUUUCAAUAUGCUAAAAUGAUUUAGCUGUUCCAAGGUAGUAAUCUUUAAAUCAAUCACGUUAGUGGAUUUGAAAUUCAAGGGAAAUACAGACUUACAACUUAUUGGUUACAAUAACUAAUAUUAUAUUAGUCCUAGCCAACCUACCAAUUGCUCUAUAGAAAAAUAUUCCUAGCCAAGUAUAUGGAUUUUUUAUGAAUUAGUAGAUUGUGAAUCAAUGACUCGAGGCUUUUCUAUUCUUGUACUUUUAUGCGUAUUUCAGUUGGAUGUAUCAUAUAUAUUAUGGUUGACUUUUCAGAGCCACAAGUAUGCACACUUUCAAGAUUCACUAUGAUGGCCAUUUUGUCCAUGCUCCUAUGUUUGAGUACGUGGGGGGAAAAGUAGCACACUUUCUUGACAUUGAUCCUGAUCUCAUGUCAUAUUUUGAAAUUCUUAGCUACUUGAGAAAAAUUAACGUGGAUGAAAACUUUCCGAAGUACUAUAAGAUUUCUGGAUUUGACUUGUUACAUGGGCUUAGACUACUUAACAGUGACAGUAAUGUCUUAGAAAUGCUUGAAUUCAACAGGAACCACAAUAUGGUUGAGAUAUAUGUUGGUUUUGGUGUCGAUAAUGAUGCUUUUGUUGAGGAACCUAUGCUUAAUAAUUUGGUUGACAACAGUGCUCAUCUGGAGCACCUUGAAGUUGGAAAUGCUGCCAAUGAUGAGGGAAAUGGUGCUGGAGUUCAAAAUCAUGAGAGUUUAGAAAAUGAAAAUGAGGACUGUGAUUCUUCUGACGAAGCGUAUCAUGCUGAAGAAGGAGGAUCAAGUGAUGAUUCUAAUUUUGAAUUUUUUCUUGAUGAUUGAAUGAUGGGUGUGAUCCAUGGGAAGGGGAAGAAAAUUUAGAGGAAACAAAUGAACAGCAAAACUUCUCAGAUUAUAGUGAAUAUGCUCAGUUGAUUGCAAAGGAGUACCAGGCUUAUGUUGCCUCUAGGGAGAAGGGAAAAAUGUUAGAGACAGAGUUUGUCAGUGAUGAUGAAGUAUUGACUGUUGCUUUAAACUCAUCUGAUGAAGAACAACAUGAAGAUUUUCCUGAAUUUAAUAUUGAAAAGGACAUGGAGAAGCCUAACUUAGAAGUUAGACAUCUAUUUACUAAUGUGCAAGAUUUUAGGCUUGCUAUAAGACAUCAUUCUAUAGUAAAUGGGUUUGAGAUAAAUUGGAAAAGAAAUGACAAUGAUAGGAUUGUGAUCACUUGCAAAAGAAAUUGUGGCUGGAGAGUGUAUGCCAGUGAGUAUAGGGAUACCAAACAAUUCCAAAUAAAAACACUAGAUAGAACUCCUCAUCAAUGUCUACAUUCCUACAAGAACAAGAGUGCUAAUGCAAAAUGGAUAGCCCAAAGGUUUAUUAGAGACAUUGCGGAUAAUCCAUCUCUAAAAAUUGAUGUACUUAAGAAGGUAGUGAAAAGAAAAUAUAAUGUGAAUGUGUCUGACCAACAACUUUACAGGGCUAAGAGUAAGGCAGCUAAGAUGAUCCAGGGUGAUCAUAAGAUGCAGUAUUGGAGAAUUAGGGACUAUUGUGCUACAAUAAUUUGUAAGAAUCCAGGUUUUGUUGCUAUUGUAGUAAUUGAGAGAUUGCCUAUGUGCCCUAAUCCGAUCUUCAAGAGAAUGUUUGUGAUGUUUUCUACUCAAAAAGAAGGCUGUAUUGUUGCAUGUAGACCUGUGAUAGGACUAGAUGCUUGUCAUAUAAAAUCUACAAUGGGGGGGACAGUUGAUGGCUGCUGUUGGUAGAGAUGCUAACAAUCAGAUGUAUCCACUCGCUAUGGCACUAGUAGAGUCUGAAUGCAAAGAUAGCUGGGACUGGUUCCUUGACCUACUAACUGAUCAUAUUGGAUUACCAAGUGAAUUAGGUUGGGUUUUCAUCUCUGAUAGACAAAAGGUUAGUCAACUAUUAUUUUGGUUUAGUUGACAAAUUUUUUUCCCAUUUAUUUUACACAUGAUGCUAAUUACGUAUUUUGUUUACAUGGAUUGAUUGAGAUAAUGGAGAACAGAUUUCCUAGAGUUGAGCAUAGAUAUUGUGUCAGGCAUAUGUACGCCAAUUUUAAACUACGAUUCAAAGAUAAACAAUUGAGGAAUAUCAUGUGAGCGGCUGCUAGAGCCUAUGUACCAAACAGAUUUGAGGCUAAUAUGAGAGAAUUACAAGCAAUAUCACCUGAAGCUCAUGCAUGGUUAAGAGUUGUUCCAACAAACUUAUGGGCAAGACACAUUUUUUCUAGUAGAACUAAGUAUGACCUUCUAACCAACAACAUAUGCAAGAGCUUCAAUCAAUAUGUUAAGAAGGCAAGGCAAGAACCUAUUUUGAUCAUGUUUGAGAAUAUUAGAAGACAAAUCAUGUGUAGAUCUCAUGAGAAAAGACAAUGGAUUAAAAGAGUUCAGUCCAAAAUCUGCCCAAGAAUAGUUGAGAAAAUAGAUAACCACAAGACUCAGGUGCCACUUUUUGAAAGUAGGGAAUCAGAAAGUGGGAUAUGGGAAAUUGCUGAACCUACUAAGAGUUAUAUAGUUUCCAUUAAUGAAGGUAGCUGCACAUGUAAAGAGUGGGAAAUGACAGGCAUCCCAUGUGUUCAUGCUUGUGUGGCAAUUGUGAAUAGGGAUGGUGAGCCAGCUAACUUUGUUCAUGAUCGGUACACAGUUGACAUGUAUAAAAGGGCCUACAUGAACCUUAUUAUACCAGUUCCAGAUGAAAACAAGUGGGUGAAAUCAAAUACAGAUCCAGUGGCACCCUCUCUUAUAAGAAAAGCACUCAGCAGGCCAACAAAGAAAAGAAGAAAGGGACCUGAUGAGAACCAGCAAUCCAACAAACUUAGCAAAAAAGGCAUACCAAUUCAUUGCAGUCACUGUGGUCAUACAAAUCACAAUGUAAGGAGCUACAAAAACACUGGCUGCUUGUAUGUUAGGAAAAGAAAACAGGUAGUGACCAGCUUUAUUUGAUUCAUAAUUCAACAAGUUUCAGCUUUUUGUUAGCUUAGUUCUUUAUCUUUUUUGUUCUAGGUUGAAAAAGCUACCGGUAACAAUUCAGAAGAAACUAGCAUACAACCAAAAAAUUCCCAAGUUGCACGUACAUGCAGUGUUAGAGAUAGGGGAAUUGCUAUUGGAAGGGGGUGUGGCUUAAGUGUUAACUACAAUAGAGGUAAGAGAACUAAGAUGGGAAGGGGUCGUGGCAAAUGUGUAAGCUAUGGUCCAUUGAGUGGGAUUGACAACUGGAAUGGUAUGGGAAUGUCAACUGGAACAACUUUUAUUCACCACUCAAGAAUCGUAAAAUUGUUCACUUUUGCCUAGUUUCCUUUAUCAGUACAAUCAUCACUCAUAAAUGUAAUUCAUUGCAGAUUUCCCCACAAAUGGUGCCUACAAAGUGUGCUAGUCAGAGUGGAAGUGAAGGCAGAGUGACUACUAUUAGAGCUGGUGGAGGAAGCAAUGGUGAUAUUAUGAGUGAGAAAGCAAGUGCUGAUAUUAUGAGUGACAAAGCAAGUGGUGAUUUUAUGACCGGAGCUCCAUUUAGAACUUCAAGCAGUAAAAACUACAACGCUGGAAAUCAGGUUAGAAUAUUGAAGCCUUGUGCAAUUUAAUAAACUCCAGUGAUGUAGUGUUGGUUGUACGGUUAUGCUUUUUCAUAUUUUCACAUCUUCUUUUAGGUUCACAAGGUGCAAACUAGAUAUGGAGUCCAUUUGCUAUCCAGCAAAGGAUCGUCAAGUGCUGCUUCAAAGUCCAGCAUACCAGUUGGCAAAAAAUGAUAUUUCUAAUGGUCAACAAUUUGAAGAUAAUGUUUUGUUCUUUUCUUUUUGGAUGAAUUGAUGAUAUUUUGUUAUUAAUUUUGAUGGAUUCCCACUAAUGACAGAUAGUGAAUGAUUUUUUUUUUGUCCCAACCAGACAAUGAUUAUGCUUUAUAUAUAUGUAACAGCGAGCUAAACUUGAUAUUGAGAAUACAUUCAAGGUCAAUAGAAUUUUUUUUUAUUUGGUGGUAGCAUCUAACAACAGUCGUUAAUCUUCUUCAUUGUCACUUGGUAUAUGAAAUUUCAAUUUUUUUGAAAGUUUGCAAAAAGGAUCUAUCAGUCUGAAAAAAGCAAAAAAUAGUUUCUAGUAUAAGAAGUUCCAGAUGAUUUUUUUACACUUACGAAAAAAUAUAAAUAUGUCCAGAAAAAUUUUAUAUUAUAACCUUGUAGGUAGAGUAGACAAGAAAUUAAGAGAAUAAAAUAAGAAAUAAAAAAAUAAAAAUUAAGGGAUUUGUGAACGAUUUAAGAAAAAAGAGAAUAAAAAAAGGUUGGAUAUCAUUUUAAGAGAAAAGGAAUUUAAAAAAAAAUCAAGACAAUUGCAAAUACUAUGAGCAAAAAAAAAAGAAGAAACAAGUUCUUCAAGGCUUAAGGGUAUUUUCGUCUUAAAAAUUAGUAACAACGAGUUGGCUAACGGAAAUGGGUAAACUGACUAAAGAAUAAUAUUAUGGGGUAAAGUGAUAGUAGCUAUAAAGGUUAGGGGAUAAAAUGAUAAUAACCCUUAAAAAAAAAACUCAUUUUUGGAUAAAGAAGAUGAUUUCAUUCCAAACGUGCCCUUAUUCAUCCUAGUUUUUUUUUUGAAAAAAUUUAAAAGUAUAUUAAGAAAAGGUUGAAAUUAAUAGACAUAUUGUUUGAAUGUGCAAUUUUAGUGGGAUACAAUAUAACAGUAAGUGUUUUAAGGUAUAAAUAAUUUAUUUUUAAGAGUAUAUUUGAGGUGCUUUCAAACCAAAAAAAUAUUAUUAAUUGCAAAGUGUUUACCAUCAAUUUGAUGAGUUUUUUAAAUUAUUAGAAUUUCUGAAAAAUAGAAUAAAUUUAUAUUAUAUUUAAAAACUCAUUUUAUAUGUUUUCGAAGACUAAAAGGAGUUAUUAUUUUAUUGAAAAAUGUUUGUGAAUUUCUAAAUUUAAUAUAUAUUGUUUCAACUAAUGAUAUGAAAACUAUUAAAAUAUUUUUCAAUCUUGUUAACAUCCUAUAAUUCUUGGCUACAAAAUUAUAACGGCAAAGUUUUAAAAGUUUAAGAUAUUAACUAAUUUAUUAUGAAAACAAAAAAGACGUACAAGAAAAGGGCAACAUUGGAAUGAACACGAAUUCUCUAUUCAAACAUAAGUUUUUUAAUAAUAUAUUAUAAAAUGAGUUUACACUGCUAUAGAAAAAAGUUGAAAAUAAAGGAGGCAAAUAAUAUCUUUUAAAAUUCAAGAGGUUAAGUGAAUUGUCACGGAACUCAAGGAAAGCCGGUGAAAUUAUCCCAAAUAUCUUUAUCCCAAGUGUCCUUAUCCACGUUAAAAGAUUGUGGGGAUAAUUACUCUGAGUUUAAAGUUUUAAACCGCACUUUCAAUUAUCAAUUGACUAGAUCGUAUUGAUUUAUGAGCUCCACUUUAGAUUAUAUUUUGCACUAAAAUUUCGAUUACCUCUGAAUGUUAUUCUAAUUUUGUUAUAUGAUUUCCAGUAAUUUCGAUUGUUGAAAAAAAUGUCUUUAUCCACAAUAACCCUUCGCACAAUUUCUUCCUAGAAAGGACGGAAGAGAAAUCAAGUAGCCCUAGUUGAUGCAUAUCAGUACUGAACUACUGAUGAGUAGUGACUCACAACAGGAUAAGCACUAAGGAUAUGAGAUGAGAGAUCUCGUGGACCAAUCAAUUUGCGGAUUUUGAUAAUCUGUGGACCAUGUAAUAUGCUUGUGGUGUAUAUUUUUUUGAAGGUAAACUACUUUUUUUUGUCUUAGUAAUAUUAUUUUAUGUAUCCAUGGACCAUGUGUUAUUAAUUUAUUACACUGGAUAGUAGAUACCGAAUAGUCAAAUACCACCUGUCAUUUUGCUGAAGCUGAUGGCUUCUUUUUUUUUUUUUCAAUUAUGCCCUUUUCGCAUAAAAUUGCCCUUUUCAACUUUCUUGGGUUUUCUCUAAAUUGACUGAGAAGCAUAUGGUGGGGUCCAGAGCAUUAAUAGUUGAGUUGAACAGUUGAAGUCAAAUCCGUGAUAAUUUGUGGUUCACGUUUCUCUGAUUUUCUUUACGUCAUUCAUGACGUAAACAUUUUUGUAUUUAUAGGUUAGAACAGCCAUUGGAUGACAGCCACUGUGGGUUUCACACCCAUAGACACCUAUCAAAACAGUUUCAUUAAUUUAACAAAUUUAGUUUCUUAAUUAUACUUAAUUAUUCAAAGACCCAAAAUAUUUUUUAAAAUUGAUUUUUCUUUGGUUUUCUUAUUUUGCAUUAAGAGAUAAUUUUAGUAACCUCCUCUCAUAUUUAUAUUAAUAUCAUUUGAUAUCCCUAAAAUUUAAGAAAGUUCACCUACCUCCCUUAUUUUUAACAUUUUUUUAACUUUAUCAAUCCAUUUCAAAAGAUUUGAUUUAAAAACUUAGGCCCUGUUUGGAUUGCCAUUUUCUGUCAGAAAAUUGCGUCGUUUUCCGUGAUCACAUUUCCCUAUUACCUUUUUCCCUCACAUACAUCAAAUCGCUACAGUAAUUUUUCCAUGAAAAAUGACGAAAAAUGCAAUCCAAACGGGACCUUAGUUUGAGAGAGAUAAAACAUUUCUUUUCAAAAACUACCCGUUUCUUGUGCACAAUUACUUUUCAUAAUAAAUCAAAUUAAAUCCUUAAGAAUUACAAUAUAUUAAUGAAAUUGAAAGACCUUUUUGUAACUUUCUAUGUUAUCGGUCCGGACAAGAAAUGCAAAAGAAAAAUUGUUAUUAUUAGAAAAAAAUAACAUUUUGCAUCUUGAAAAUACCUCAAAUGAGUUUCUAAAAAUAUUGUUAAUAAUUUAUCUUUCUCUUAUAUUCAAGCCAUCGAUUUGGACAAAAAGUUAGAAUACUAAACAAAAUUCUAUAAGUUUUAUAAAAUUCUAAAUUUAUCUAAAAAUACUUUUUAAUAAAGAAAGUUACUUUUACAUUUUUUGGAAACACCUCAAAUGAGUAAAAAACAUUAUGUCUGUUUUUUAUACUCAAGUCAUCUGUCUAUACAAAAAAUUUAGAAAGUUCAUUUUUUUAACAUUCAUAAAACUCCUCAAAUUAAUGAAAACACUUCAUAGUGAACGAAAAAUAUUUUAGCUUGAACGCACCCUUAAAUAGUAAUCUUUUGUGCCUUAAAAACACCUACUCGUAUAAUUUUUUCUAUUAGAAUUAAAGCAUUUCCUCUCUCCAAAUAUGAGUUUCUUAAUAAUAUUUUUUGAAUUGGGCUGAUAACAUUACAAAAAGCUGAAAAUGAGAAAGGUAAGUGAAAUUUUUUCAAAAUUUAGGGGUAUCAAGUGAUGUUGCAACAGACCUUAAGGGAGGUUUCUGAAACUAUUCCUUGCAUUAAUGUAGAAAUUGUUGGUUGGCUUCGCAAAGGUAGAAAAGCUGCGACCCCUUGGCACGUCAGGUUGAUGAUAGAGCACUUUUCUUUCGUUGAUUUUGAAGUUUAAGCUGGUACAGUUUUAAUAUGUUUAUACGUCUAUGGAAUUGCAAAAAUGAUGAUAAUUUUUAAUCAAUUAAGGAAAAUUUUUUUCUCUCCAUAAAAAAAUUUAGCGUCUUAAUCGACUUUGCAGUCCAUUAGUAUACAAAAUCUUACAUGUGCCUCACUCUCUCAUAGAUUUCCGUUUGUAAACAUCCCAGAAUUCCGAUGCAUUAUGAAAUAUCAUCAAAUAGGUUGCUAGUAAAGAAGAGAGUGACUUUUCUUGGAGGAAGAAGACGGUGACUUAAAAGUCCGUUGCAUCAAUUUUUCUUUUGAGUAAUAAUCCUCAUUAUCAUUUGUUGGCAAUCAUUUUAGUUCAAACCCCCCUUAGUCAAAGUACUCAAAGGAACUACUGCCUUAAUCUGUCCAUAUGAAAAGAAAAGGGCUUCCACCGAGACUGUAAAUAACAAGAUGAUUGACAAGUUAGAUGGCAUACCUUCUGAUUAAACAAUAGUCACCAAUAGUUAAGUAUUUAAUUAAACAAUAGUCAGCUUGCCGCAGCAUAUCCAAGUCACCAAUAGCAACAUACCUUUUGAUUCUACACCAAUAAAUUAAUCCUUUCCUCGUAUUCUCCCAAAGAUUAAGGAAAAAAAAGUAAGAUUAUAGAAACAAAGAAAGUUCAGUCAUGCCCCUAGCUUGAGUAAAUCGAGGGAAAGAAAAACAAUAUAUAUAAGAGGGAAGUCAGACAAGUCGUUUAUUGAAAAUUUUUUAACAAUAUUUUUAUAAUCUAACCUAUCUUAUUUAUUUUAUAUGAGAGUGAAGUCUAAAAAAAUUAUAUAAAAAAUUAAUAAAUAUACAAAGAUGACUAGACAAAAGAAUGUUUUAACAUCUCCUUUUAUUUUUCAUUUGUUUUUCUCGGCAAAUGAAAUUGAAUUCUCGACUUACAGAGAGUUACCGUCUAGAGAGAAAUUUGGAAUAUGCUUGGAUUAUAAUUUUUUAAAAAAAAUUAUUAUAUUUUUUAUAAACAUAUUUUUUUAAUCACUUUUUUACUUCACAAAUAUCAAAAUACUACAAUAAUUUUUCUACAAAAAAUUCAAAAAAAUACAAUCUAAACAAAAUCUUAAUCUUUUUUUGAUGGUGGUAUAACAAUAAUUAUGAAUAUAUGUAAACCCCCGAGCAGAAACUAUGUAGUUUCUACAGGUGUCUAUUGUCUUAUAUAUAUAUAUAUAUAUGUAUUAUUUUUUUACUAGAAGAAAUUCUCAAAAUAUUUUCACAUCUUCAUUUUAUUUUAAAUUAAAUAGAAAAUAAAAAAUUUCUAUUUCAAUUGAGCACAACCUGUCUUUUGUUGCCUCCCCAAAAAAAAAAAAAAAAAAACAGAGCCAAAGCUUAUUGACAAUUUAUCCAAAAAUAUAUAUAUUUUAUUGAAAAUUUUUUAAGAGUACUUUUUGUGAUCACUUUUUGUUUUAUAUAAAUCAAAUGUUUAAAGAUGGCAAAAUAUUAUUUAUUUUUCUAAAAUUACUUCUUAAAACCGCAAUCCGAAUUUACACCUCAUAAUCCUAUCUCCCAAUUUAACCCAACAAGGCACAAUUAGAUGCCAAUUCUCAUUCUCAUCGCCAAAUACCACCAAAAUGCUGAUUAGAUUUGACCAACAAAAAAGGGGAUUAAAAAUAUGUACAAUACAUUAACCAUAAUCCACAUAGUCAACAAAAGAUAAAGUAGCCUCAGCUACCAAAAGCCGAAAAAAAAAAGGCCAAAAAAAAAACAAAAAGGAGCAGAGAAGUAAAAGUGAUUAAGCUAAAAAGUAAAAUCCACCCAAAAUUUGAUUUUACUUCACAAUUCAGUAGGUCGGAACGACGCCGUAAGACGCAUCAGCAACUAUUAACGAUUCAAUUUCAACUUCCGCCCGCUUCGCAAACCUUCCUUUAAUUCUGGGUCGGGUCUCC